GCCGUAUGUCAGAUACAAUAUUAAUUUAGCCUACGUACUCUAACAUUAUAAAAUAAGAGACAGAUAGGAUAUUUUCUCUAAAAAGGACAUAGUUAAAAUGCUUGAAAAUGACAACUAGUCAAAUAUGGGCAUAACUUUUCCAUGAUAAAGAGAUAACUUAUUGUCCAGACAUUAGUGUAUAUUUUACUUCUAAGAACAUAGUGACGGAAAUACCUUAUCUUCCCCCUCAUGCUCUGACAAUAAGUUUCAUAUUCUGUUACCAUUGAGUCGAUUCCAACUCAUAGUGACCCUGUAGGACAGAACGGAAGUGUCCCAUAGGGUUUCCAAGGAGAGGCUGGUGGAUUCGAACUGCCAACCUUUUGGUUAGCAGCCGAGCUCUUAAACACUGAGCCACCAGGGCUCCCUCCAAGAGAGCACUAAUAAAUGAAACAUCCAGUUUCUUCCACAGGCACUGCCAGUACCACCUGGCAACACUCACCACUUCCCAGGGGCUCUGACUGGCUCGGUUUGCAGGAGCCCAUGGCAGUCCCCACCAUGUUCGGUGGUUAUCUAACAGCUUUGAAACGUCACUCUUCGCGCAGCCCAUUUUAAUUUUUCCAGGAUCCUUUGGAAGGCCCUGCCCUCCAUUUUGAAAACAAAAAUAAAGAAAACCUGAUCUAUGAAGGGGAUAGUUAAGAAAGCCAUGGCAUUUGUGGAGAUGUGAGAACUUCUGGUUUAAAUUUCAUUAGACUCACUUAUGUUGACUCUCAGGUAGCUCGCUAAUGACUUGUAAUUCUGUUGGGUACUUUAGGAAGCAGAGGGAAAUGGCAGACAUUACAAAAUGCACAUUUAAAGCCAAAGCUACAGUAGUGGUGGUUAGCUCAAUAGGAUACAAAACCUUAGUCAAGCUACUGACUGGAAGUUUGAGAGCAACUUUGACAAGACAAGGCAAAUGGAUUGCACUCCAGUGAGAACUAGUUUAACACUUGAACUCAGAAAAUUUCCCAUUUCCCCCUUGUUGAGUCCUACGAAUAGAGAAGAGGGUAAGAAAGAGAAGCGAUUCAGAAGGAGGGUUUGGAGUGUAAACUGAAGAUUUCCACAGACAUGAUUUUUUUUUUUUUUAUGACAUUUUUAUGGCCACUUUUAAGCUAUUGCUUUCAGUUUACUUCCAGGCAGUCACUGAAGUAGCUCAGAAAGAAAUCUUUGAUAUGUCAGAUCAACCAAAAGUUUUAAAAUGUCCUUUUGUGUCUCCAUUUAUAAUGCAAAUAGUAAGUUGGCAUUUUGGGUUCACUCAGCCAUCUUCUCUGAAGUGGGUUAACAUACACAGAGUGGGGAAGUGAAGGGAGUCCCACAAGAGAGCACAUCUUUGAUAGUUCAACAAUAAUAAUAAAAAAACUUGUUUAGGUCUUUUCUAAAUACCUUUCACCUCCUAAGAAUAUAAAAAAUGGGAGGAAAGAGAUCUAAAAAGAAUAAAUUGUGGUUGCCCUCUAUGUUAGCUGAAUGACUAAAGAUGUUGUUCUAUAAAUUACCCACUACUUAAAUAUUCCUUAAAUCCAGCCUUUACGAGCUCAUAAAAAAUGACUUUGCUUAUGUGCCUAGGAAAGCCAGUAUCUUUAUAUGCUGUCAGGACCGAAUCUAACAUACUGUUUCAAUAUACAUUUGAAAACCAGCUGAUAUUUUGUUAUAUAAUGCGCGCAGGGCAAUCACCUUAAACCCACGUUUACAUUUUAUUUUUAUCAUAUAUAAACAUACCCUAGCUGAAACAGUUUUAAAAAGUGGUAACCUGUAUUUGAGAAUGAUAGGAAGAGACUGAAUCCUGGUUGAGUUAGCAUUGCCACUGCAGUGUUUUAUUCAUGAGAAUCUCCAACUCUUUUUCAGAUAUACUAAGAAAGCCAGAAUUAAUUAAUGUCAUGAGCAUAAAUGAGGGCUGGCAAUGAUCAUACAGUUUCAUGCUAGGAGGAGGGAAGGCCGAGACCUCUACACACUGCAUAAACCCCAUAUACCACUUUCUCUUUUGAGAGCCUGUAUAAAGUCUCCCAUCCAUUUUGCAGCUUCAGAAUUUCUUCUAGGCAACUGAAGUCAAAUUACCUUUUUUUGACAAAUGCUUUUCCCAAAUGGAAGCAAGACCCAUAGUGUUUCAGGAAGCUUCAGGUGAAGUGUUAGUAAUAACCAUUGCAUAAACAGAUAUUUUACCAUCUUCUGUUUCAUGAUUGAGCUUUGCAAGUGUAAACAAUUUAUAAGGAAAAAAGUGGACCAUGACAGAUUUGAGAAGCAGAAGGGAAAAUCAAAAGUGUGCUUUGUCAGGAGAGGUAGUCAGGACAAACCUAUGAUUUUAAACUAUUUAGAUAUAGUCCCGUCUUUGAAGUCCCUCUUUUCUCAAAUUUAAUGUCUCUCCUCUCCUCCCUUCUUCUCCUGCCUCCUCCCCUCCCCUCCCCUCCCCCCCCUCCCCUUUUCAUCUCCUUCCACCUCUUUUCUCGCCCUCUCUUUCUCCUUCCUUCUCCCCUCCCCUCCCUCCUGUUUCCUCUUUGCUCUUGGGCACUGGUUUGGAUUAUUUUUGCUUUAGUGUCUCUCAGGCACUUGAGUUCUCAGCUCCUUCAUGUUCUCCCCCUCCUCUUCCCCUUCCUCUCCCUUCACUUCCCUGUACCCCACCUCCCACUUGAGCUUGUCGGGAAGCCACUGUACCCUGGGUGCCCUCUUGCCUCAGCCUUGUUUAAACAAAAACAAAACUGUUGCUAUGAAGCCUCCCAACUCAUGGCGAUCCUCUGUGUCAAAGUAGAUUUGUGCUCCACAGGGUUUUCAGUGGCUAAUUUUUCAGAAGUAGACCACCAGGCUUUUCUUCCCAGGUGCCUACAGGUAGACUCAAACCUCCAUCCUUUUGGUCAACAGCUGAGUGCAUUAACCGUUUGCACCACUGAGGGACUCCUCGGUCUUAUUUGUUCCUGUCGUUAGGUGUUGUCAGUCACGUGGAUUCUGACUCAUAGUGCCACCAUGUGACAGUGGAACUACUCAAUAGGGUUUUCUAGGAUGUAAUCUUUAUGGGAGCAGAUUGCAAAGUCUUUCUCCUGUGGAGCAACUAGGUGGAUUCGAACAGCCAACCUUUUGGUUAGCAACAGAGAGCUUAACCGGUGCACCACUCAGGGAAUCCUCAGUCUGGUUUAAGCCGUUGCCGUUGAGUUGAUGCCAACUGAGAGCAACUCUAUAGGACAGAGUAGAACUGCCCCCUAGAGUUCCCAAGGACCAUCAGGGGAUUCGAACUGCCGGCCUUUUGGUUAGCAGCCGUAGUUCUUAACCACUAUGCCACCAGGGAUUCCCAGCCUUGUUUAGGCACCUCAUAUAUAUAUAAUUUCAUGGUUAUAUUUAGUAAAAAAUAGACCUCUUUUCUUUUGUUGUCUCACUUGAAUUAAGUUUUACAGUUCUGACUGGAAACAAAUCUUUAUUUUUCCAUAUUGCAACUCUUUGUGCUCUUUCAUUUAAGACAGCUGCUUUAAUAGUGAUCAAAUGCUGAAAUGCUUCAGCAUAUUAAAACCUACUUGGAAAAAUGAUGAUAAAAUAGCAUAAAUAAGCAGGAAAUAUAUACUCUGUAGUGGAUGGUAAGAUGUCAUCUCACGUACUUUGGAUGUUAUUGGGGGGACCAGUCCCUGAAGAAGGACGUCAUGCUUGGUAAAACAGAGGGUCAGGGAAAAAGAGGAAGACCUUCAAUGAGAUGGAUUGACACAGUGGCUGCAACAGUGGGAUCAAACAUAACAACGAUUGUGAGGAUGGUGCAGGCCUAGGCAGUGUUUCAUUCUGUUGUACACAGAGUUGCUAUCAGUGGGAACCGACUCGACAACACCCAACAACAAGGAGAUCUAUUGGUAUCCUGCCUAGAUCCUCUCAGUGGCUGCUGCAUGCCUCUCCUAGCUGCUUUGAGUGUGGCUGGUAAGCUCACAGCUGCCUCUUUUUCUGGAGAAUUGCCCCCUAGCAAACACUGAAUGGGGAGGGGGUGGUUUAAAACAGGCUAACUAGCCCCUUUGCCUCAAGGUGGACCUAAAGCUGUGGUGUGAUUUGUGCUCUAGAGCUUCCUUGCGGGAUCUACUAAUGUAUUCUCUAGCUAAGCCUACAUUCUUGCCUAGCUUCCCCGCUUCCCUUCCUCCCCUUCUCCUGAGAACACUCUCUCAAUAAAUCACUUGAACAAGAAUUCCUACCUCAGGCUCUGUCUCUAGGAUGCCUCUCCUAGGACAUACAUGCUAAAAAAAAACAAAACGAAGAAAACUCAGAAUUUUUUGGCUAGAUCUUCAAUAUAUAUGAAAUGACCAGUGUUAAGAUGGUCAUUGAUAGAAUAAAACAUUGUUGUCAGGGACCGUUGAGUUGGUUUUGACUCAAAGCAACCCUAUGUACAACAGAAGGGAACAGCACCAGGUCUUGUGCCAUCCUCACAAUAGUUGCUAUGUUUGAGCACAUUGUUGGAGCCACUAUGUCAAUCCAUCUUGUUGAGGGUCUUCCUUUUUUUCGCUGACCUUCUGCUUUACCACCAUGAUGUUCUUCUCAGGGACUGGGUGCCUUCUGACAAAAUGUCCAAAGUACAUAAGAUGAAGUCUCACCACACUAGCUUUCAAGGAGCACUCUGACUAUACUUCCUCCAAGACAGAUUUGUUUGUUUUUCUAGCAGUCCAUGGUAUAUUAAAUAUUCUUUGCCAACACCAUAAUUCAAAGGCAUCAAUUCAUCAUCCAGCUUUUCCAAGCAUGGUGACUGAAAAUACUGUGGCUUGAAUCAGGGGCACCUUAGUCUCCAAGUUGACAUCUUUGCUUUUUAACACUUUGAAGAGGUCUUUUGCAGCAGAUUUGCCCAAUGCAAGGCAUCAUUUGAUUUAUUGACUGCUGCUUCCACUUGUGGAUUCAAGUAAAAUAAAAUCCUUGACAACUUCAAUCUUUUCUCCAUUUAUCCUAAUGUUGUUUAUUGGUCAAAUUGUGAGAACUUUUGCUUUCUUUAUGCUGAGGUGUAAUCCAUACCAAAGGCCGUUGUCUUUGACCUUCAUCAGUAAGUGCUUUUAAGUCCUCUUUGGUUUCAUCAAGCAAGGUUGUAUCAUCUGCAUAUCGCAGGUUGUUAGUAAGUCUUCCUCCAAACCUGAUGCCCCACUCUUCUUUAUAUAGUCCAGUUUCUAGGAUUAUUUGCUCAACAUACAUAUUGAAUAAGUAUGGUGAAAGGAUACAACCUUGACACACACCUUUCCUGACUUUAAACCAUGCAGUAUCCUCUUGUUCUGUUUGAACAACUUCCUCCUGGUCUAUGUACAGUUAAAGCACAAUUAAAUGUUCUGGAAUUCUCAUUCUUUGCAAUGGUAUCCAUAAUUUGUUAUGAUCUACACAGUUGAAUGCCUUUGCAUAGUCAAUAAAACAUAGGUAAACAUCUUUCUGGUAUUCUCUAGUUUCAGACAAGAUCCUUCUGACAUCAGCAAUGAUAUCCUUCAUUCUGUGUCCUCUUCUGAAUCUGCCUUAAAUUUCUGGCAGUUUCCUAUUGAUGUACUGCUGCAACCAUUUUGAAUAAAACAUUAGAUUCAGCAAAACAGCAUGAAAACUGCAGAUAUUUCCAGUUGUGCAAAACUUAAGUAUACAGAUUUUAUCCUUUGUCUCACCCAAAGAGGAAAUAUUUUGUAAGGAGUUGCAAAUAUUUAAGAUGUUAUUAGCCUGGGGAAAUCCCACGAAUGAGAUAGCAACAGUCCCUUAAGUACUCAUGUUAUGACUAGAUUUAUAGUUUCCAAAAUUCUUUCACUUACCAGACCUCAAGUAAAUCUCAUGCCAUCAUAACAGGAAGGGAUAAUUAGUUUCAUUUUCCACAUGUGAAGAAAUUAUCUCUGAGGUUAAAUGACUUGGCCACUAUCUCACAGUUAGUAAGUACCAUAGCUGGUAUUUAAACCCAGGUGUCUGUGUAGAAUAUGAGGUAAGAGUUCUUAAUUAAUCUAAUCAUGUUCUUAUGUUUUCACAGGUUCAGUCUUCAUAAGCUGCUGUUGAAUCUAUAAAAACCCAGUGCUGUCAAGUCGAUUCCGACUCAUAGCUACCCUAUAGGACAGAGUAGAAUUGCCCCAGAGAGUUUCCAAGGAGCACCUUGAAUCUAUAGGGCUACCUUAAUGAAGUAUCUACUGGCUUAGAGUUAAUCUUAGGCAAAGUGGCCAGUUGUAUGUUAAAUCCAUGUAUUACUUAGCCAUUGCUGUAUAACAAUUUACCCUAAAAUUUAGCAGCUUAAAAUAAAAAGCGUUCAUUAUCUAACAGCUUCUGUGUGUCAGGAAUCCUGGGGUGGCUCAGCUGGGUGUCUUCAUCUUAACAUUUCCACAAAUUCAUAAUCAAGAUAUUGGUCAGGAUUUUGGUCUCACCUAAAGGCUCAGUUAAGGGAAGAUCCCCUUCCAAGCUCACUCAGAUAUUUGUUUGCAGGAUUCCGAUCCUUGGGAGCUACUGGAGUGAGGGUCUAAUUUCCUCACUAGCUGUUGGCUGGAGGCAUUGUUCAGUUCCCUGUUACUGGUCCUUUCCAUACGGCAGCUCACAAUAUGGCAGCUGGUGGUCUUCAGAUUGAGCAAGUGAGAGAAAGCAAUAGAAGGCAAGCAAGAAGGAGGACAGAGUUUUUUUGUAACUGAAUCUUGGAAGUGACAUAUCAUCAUUUUUUCUGUAUUCUACUGAUUAGAAUUGAGUCACUAGGUCCAGCCCUCAUUCAAUGGAAGGGGAUUACACAAGGAUGUGAAUACCAGGAGGCAGAGAUUAUUGGGAAUCAUUUUCAGAGCUGCCUACUGGAACACGUCACUUGGCUUCCUUGUCUACUAGGCCCCCACAACUUAGCCCAACCCCUAUUCUCUCUAUAUGGAAGCACUGGAUUAUUUCCAAUACACUAAUUUCAUGGGUUUAGGCACUUGCUCUUCCUCCCUCCUACUCUUCAAUUUCUCUUCCCCUUUUACUCUUUCUUUCUUGCUUCCUCUGUCCUUUUGCUUCUGAUUCUACUCACUUCUCUUUCAGACUCUUUGUUUUCUCUCUCCUCCCUUUGUGUGCUUUCACUCUCACCUUCCUUUCUGAAUCCAAAUCUUCUAUUUCUCUUCCUGUUAAUGUUGCCCUUAAUGUUUCUCAAUGUGUUCACAGGGACUAUGGACAGCCAGUAAUUUUGGAUGCUAACUUUUAAGUUUCUAAUAAAGCAAUUUAAUUCACCUUUUUGAUCUAUUCUUUCCACUAUGGUCCUCUGGGAAGAUGACACCAUGAUGAAGUGAGUUAAAGUCCUUUUUACAGAACACUGAAAAUUCCAUUUUACAGGGUAGGGGAGAAUUUUUUUUUUUUUCCUACUUCUCAAUGCCUAAUGUCCGUUCUGAAUUAUAUCUAGCUUAUAGUCUUAUGUGUUUUAUGAUAAGUUCUUUAAAAGGUAAGAUGAUGAGGGUAAUGAGGCAGGCCUAAGUAUACCAUUAUAUCACUUAUCUAAAAUUACUUGUUUAGUCCUUGAUGGCAGGGACAGCAAACUUUAUCUCUAUUUCCAGUACCUACCACAGUUUGAAUCAGUAAACUGGUGCAAUACUAUUGCAGAACUAUAGUAGAUUGAAUAGUUUGGCUAUUUUAGCCACUAAAAAUAUGGUGGAAAAAUAGUUUUCUCAAAUCUUAUGUGAAAUUCAGGAAAAAUGUUAACGAAAAUGAUAUGACUGUUUCUACUUUUCAGCAACAGAAGAUGGUCUUAAAAAAGGAGACUAUUUGAUCCGGCUGAGAGCAUACUCACAAGUGAAAUAAUGUACAGUAUAAAAAAAAAAAAAAUUUUUUUUUUUUUUUUUUUUUUUAUGUAGUCUAUUUUGGUCCAUGAUAACUGCCAGCCAUACCAUGGCCUGUUUUGUGAAAUUAGGCAAAGAUUCUUGGGGGCAAAUAAGUGAUUAGAAUAUGUUCAAUUCAGUGAUAUAUAUGUUCAGUCUAUUAGCACAUGCCAACCAAUUUUAUUGCAUGACCUACUGGCUAGUAAACGUCAAAAGAAGUCAAAUCGUUUGGAGAUCAGUUGUUUAGUAAGUUAGAAUGAAUGAAGUCUUUAAUGAGUGCGGGCAUCAAAUUCUGUCCUAGUUUGUUGCUUGUCAUGCCCUAGUCUCCAUCUGGGAUGCCCCAGGCACUCUUUUUGAGGACACUUGACCUACCAGUCAUAUUUCAGAAACUACUGAUUUGGUGCUCUGUGAUUGAGUUUAGAUUUGGAGGAGUCCGGCUGCUGGAUUACAUACAGACUAAUGACCCAUCAGAUGCUAAAGGCAAAAGCUUAAAGUGCACUAGUGAAUUAAGCCACAACAUUGUCGGAAAGAAAGAAUUUAUUAUGUCAUUAAAAUUGAUUCAAUAAGUUUUGCUUCUUUAGAUGCAUGGCGCUGAGGGAAACGUAAGAAAUUAAUUUUAAGCAAGUGUGGACCUGCUUUCUCAGGAUAGUCAAGCAAAAUUAAGAGGAAGAAUAUUGCACUGGAAUCAAAAGGAAGCUGUUAAAAAGGAAUGAUCUACUGUGAAAACUGGGCAUGGCUGCUUAGCCAGGCAUGUCCUUCUAAGUUCAGAGACUAUUUGCUUCAGGUAGUAAACACAGAGGAAAGCCCGGCUUGCCUAAGUUGAUGAUACCCUGGGUAAAGUUCUCAGGGACUUUGGGUAAAAUCUCACAGGCUCACUGGUACAAGGAUGUCAGCAAUAAUCAUGGCUGAUGCUUAGCGUUUCACGUGGAAACUUAGGGUGGGCAUAAAAUGAAAACCCAACUGGAGGUUUUCGGCUUCAAAUCCAGGAGUUAUUAUAAUGAUAUGAAGAAAAUACUCUUAAUUUAUAGAUGACUAUAAAACAUAAAAAUGUAAAACAUGUGGUGUUUAAUCUUCCUACAUAUGUUUUAUAGCAACAGAUAAAAUGUUGAUAAAUAGCAACUUAAAGAUAACAGAGGAAACUGCAGAGUGUUUGUCCCUUUUGUCAGUUAUCAAUCACAAUAAUCUGACAAUCCUCUCUGGUGUUUUAAAGUGUUACAGAGGUAAAUGGUUAAAAAAGAAAAAAAUUACACUCAUUGUAUCUGAAAAGCCAGUUCUAACAAUGGAGAGGUUUUACUAUUCAUAUUCCAGGUAAUAAAAUAUAUUUCCUAUUAGUGAUUGUAUGUAGUGAUAUAGAAGAAAGAGUUCAAAUCCUCAAAUAACGGAUUCUGAUCUUUGUUUUAACUGAGCAAAUUUCAUAGCAGGUGGCUUUUGUCAAAUAAAGGGAAAACCCUGUGAGGUAGCUCUGUGUCCAAGGGACUGAGCAUUGUAAUUUCAUUAGAAUUCUUUGCUAUCACAAUAUUCCAAGCUUAAGAUGGACAUAGAAAUAAAAACCAAUGGAUACUUUUGUUUUUCUUUUUUCAUUCAAUCAUUUCUAAAGGUUUUUUUUUUUUUUUUUUAAAGUAGGGUUUUCAGGACAACUAGAUUUGGAAUUUUUUUUCCUUCUUUCUUCUCUCUGUCUUUCCCUUUAUCCUUCCCUCCCUCCUCAACUUUCCUCUCUCUCUCCCUUUCCUUCUUUCUUAAGCCAGAGUCACAAAGUUCAUUUUGAUUUCAUUAUUGAAAUUAUUUUAAUCUUGGACCAGUACCAGGAAUAACAGACAAGAAAUCUUCCCUCCCAGUUAUUCAAUAUACUUAGUAAUGCAAGGACUAUAUAUAUUUAAAUCAGCUUUUCCUUACAGUGUUCCUAAAUUUCAAGGUAAGGCACACCUUGGGAGGAAAGGAAAGCUGAGAUGGAAAUUCAUUUGGGCUUUGUGGCACCUGCAGUUUUCCCACCAGGGCCCCACACCUCAGUUCCAGGAUGAGCAUCUGGGCUGAUUCAGCUGCCAAUUGCCUCUUUACCAAGAAUGGAAGCUUAUAAAGACAGGAGUGUCACAGACAAAGGUUACCGUGGCUGACCACAGAGAUUUCCAAAAGAACCCUUGUUCACUUACCAGUGGAGUAUCAGAAAGGAAACCAGUUUCCACUCCUAAAUGUAGUUUUAAACACCUCCUAUGUAUCAAAAGAAGCUAAAUUUUGAACCGUGCUUAUAAAACCGUGGUCUUUAUACCUGCCUGAUGAGCUUAUUGUGAGGAUUAAGUCAGUAAAUGUAUAUAUGCUCUUUGGUCAAGAGCUUGGCUACUAACCAAAAGGUCAGCAGUUUGAAUCCAUCAGCUGCUUCUUGGAAACCCUGUGGGACAGUUUUACUUUGUCCUAUAGGGUCACUAUGAGUUGGAAUUGACUCUAUGGCAAUGGUUUUUUUUUUUUUUGGUUUGGUCCUUAAGUCAUCUUUUAUUCAUAGUCUGGAGGUCAUUGAGAGAGGAGCAGCACGAGAUUAUUUUAUGUGCAUUUGUUAUUCAUUUUCUUGUUCUACAAAGUAAGCUGCCCUGACAUCUGAAGGAUUAUAUGAUGUGGCAUGGGAAAAACUGGAAAGUGUCUUCUCUAAUGUCUAGCCUGGACCUCCGUCUGCAGUCUGCAAAAGAAUCAAGAUGGAGGCAUACCCCAGCUCUCCAGAUGAUUCCCAUUAUCCUUUGGGACUUAUUAGGGAAUUUGGGAGAAAUGACUACUCUGGAAGAGUAAAAAUUUUUUUGUAAAUUCAAAAAACAUUUCUGUUUUUGAUAAAAAGAGUUUUCAUGAUGAAGCUUGCCAAGUAGCUUGGAAAAGCCUUCUUCAGUGUUUCACUGCAGUAAAGGUUAUUUAGAGAGCCCCAAGUAUUCUUCCUGGUCAGCAACAGGCGGUUGAGGGAAAGUCAAUUACACUAUGACUCAUUCUGUUCAUGGUUUAACCUCCUGACCUGUGCUGCCUGUUCUGGGAUUUCAGGUAAGUGGUUGGGAAAGUUAUGUGCGAGCCUUUUCUCUCUCUCCAGAAUUUUUAUCCUCUUUUCUUUCUCUGUGUUACACGUGUACCUAGAUAUCAAUAGGGUCUUAUCAUUCUGAUUUUUAGUAUCUUUCCUUGUAGUGUAUUUUCUCUCUCACUGGUUUUUCUUUAAUUUCAGCCCAAUUGUUAUUGGUUGCUAAUUUAGGGCCAAUGUAACUUAGAAAAACAAACCAAUUAAAAUUUAUGAAACAACAAUAUUUAUUAGUCUGAUCCUGAGUCUCCAAUGAUCAAUAAAUACAAAGAAAAUCCAGUUAGGAAUAAAGCUUUGGGAUGAUCACCUUCUAGAAAAAGAGAAACUAACAUUGCAAAGACAAAGAGAAAAAAACCAUCAAUUCUACUAUCUCAUUACCUAAGUGUUGUAUUUUUUAAAUUUACUUAAAAUAUAUUCUUUGCCCAGGCUGUCAUUCCAGUUAACUCCUUCAAGUUUAAACUACCACUGUAGAGAUACAGAUUUUUCUCUUCCUUGUGUAUUUCAUGCUAUGGUAAUAGCUCACCUAGCCAGGGAUAUGGAUCAAAUAUCCAUGAAUCCAAAAGCAGCUACAAUGUAUGUAUGUCAGUAUCUCAUGUAUGUAAUAAACUCAUGUACCUCCUUCAUUGACAGGAAACACAAACUGUCACUCAUUACUAGUUGACUUUUCAGACUCUGGUAUCUGGUUCCUUGACUAGCUUUAUAUUAGAAGCAACAAGUUGGAAGGGACUAAAGAUUGCUCUAAGAGUAGCAUGACAGCUUAUGAAAAGGGAGAUGAUUAAAAAACAAAACUACAAAAUUGGACACAAAAAUAGAAAAAGAAAUUGUAAUCUGAACUACUGGCUCUUGUGGCAAACAUCUCUCUAUAUGGCAGAGCUGUAUUACAACGUACUUCAGUCAUAAAUGGACAUUAUGAUAGCCUAGAGUAAUCAAGUUCCUGGGUGGUACAAAUAGUUAAUGUACUUGGCUACUAACCAAAAUGUUGGAGAUUCAAGUUCACACAGAGGUGCCUCAGAACAAAGGCCUGGUGAUCUACUUCUGAAAAAUCAGCCAUUGAAGACCCUACGGAACACAGCUCUACUCUGUCACACAUGGGGUGGCCAUAGAUUGGAGUCGCUUCGAUGGCAACAGAAAAAAAAAAAAAAGUGAUCAAGAAAGGCCGAACUUGUCUUUGGCUUACUCUGACUUAGAAGACCAGAAAAUUUAUGAUAUAAUUUAAAAACGUUUCCAUAAAAAUUAUUUUUAAAAUUUUGGUAAAGUGGUUUCAUUUCCCUUAGAACUGUACUUUUUCCUUGAUUAUGCUAGAUAAGUUGAGCAUUAAUGUGAUUCUAACUGGAUUGAAUUGAAAUUGAUUUUUUAUAUAAAGAAGAGAAUGGAUUCUGAGUAAGAAACAGGGGACUGGAAGUUUGAGUUCCAAGGAAGUUUUGUUUUUAAUUUAGAUCCAAACUUCGUGUUGAAAAGGAGCUCUUAUUCUUGCCCUGGAAAAGGGAAUAAGAUGGAAGUAGGGAGGGAUUCUGACUAAAAGUUAGUGUUUACAGGCUCUGAGUGUCUGCAAAACUGACAGGGCUGGUGGGUUAAUAUUUAUCCUGCACCUUGAUACCUUCAGAUGAAAAGUACUACACAAAUAUCAAGCGCUCUAAACUCUGUGGAAUUUUCAAUCUUUUCAAUUUGCUAACAACAAACUACUCAGUGGCUUGCUGGGGAAGGUUGCUCCCUUUGUAGUAUUACAACGGUAUUGGUUUUAUAUGCUGGUGACUGAAAUCACUAGUAAAAGCACAGCUCUUAGCUGUAUUCUUUCCCAGGCUGUUUCAGAAUUUUAAGAUUGCCAUUGACAUAGGCUAUUUUUUUGGCCUAAAAUAUUUUGGUAGAAACUUUAGGUCUAGAUAACCAGAGCGAAAAAGAUAUUUGUAGCCACGUCUGUUGAAUUUUUGUUGUAGAGUAUACACCACCUGGUGAUGGCUGCGUAAGACUCAAGGUCUUACCUUAACAUUGAUAUUGACCCUAGUGGCUGCUGCCUUUCGAAGGUGACUCUCCAAAGUGUGUAGUAUGCCUCUCUUUAACUGCCAGGCACGGACAAGGAAAGACAGCUCAAAAGAGUCUUCAUUAGCUGGUAUAAUUGGGGAAUGAGAUGUUGAUUUAUCGAUAUUUUUUAAUUGGAGGAUAAUCUGUAACGCCCAACGCCGUUCAGAGGGCAAAAUCAUAUAUAGCCUAUCUUUCUUAUACCCGAAACUUCAGUUGCUUUGGUUAUGUGUUCUAUUAUGUAUUUUUAGCAAAUCCACCAUAUUAAUGACAAUAAAUCUACCAUGUAGGAAAUAGUUCAUCAAAUGCUGAGCCAAUGAAUUUUGAAAGCACCCUCAUAAAAAUAAGAUAUAGCAUUUGAUGAUUUUGGUAAGUAGAAUAAGCUGAUAACACACAUGCCUACUCAUGCAUCAUCACACCAACACAUACUCACACCCACACACGCACAGAGACACACAUAUUCAUACACACAGACACACACACACUGGUUCUUAUCCCAAACUUCACACAGAAAGCAGAAAGUUUAAAACACAUGAUAAACGACUAACUUUUAAGAAAGUUAGAUUGAGAGUAUUAGGAGCUGAUAAAUAAUUGGCAAGUUGAAAGUGCUGGAGUAAAGAGGUUUAAAGACAGGAUGACCAAAAAGUCAAUCUCAGAUUCCCACUGCAUCUCGGUUUCAGUCAAUCCACCCCUUCCCCCACCUCAACUUAGAAGCUGAGUUAUUUUCUCCCCUCUGUCAAAGCCAGUUUCUACACGCUUUUUUUUUUUUUGUUAAAUUUCUUCCUGAAGAUUUUUUACCAACAAUAUUUGAAUAUAGAGCUAUUGGUUUUUGGGGCUACGCAAUAUCUGUAUUUUUGUCCUGAAUUUUUGGAACACUGAAAUGCUAGCUAUAGAAUCUUUGAGUUACCCAGGUGGUAGUUAUUAACUGACAUGUCAUGGUUCAUGGUGAACAAGCUAGGUCAACAAACUUGUUUUUCAUCAUGGCUGGUUUUAAUUUGAAAGAGAGCUUGUUACCUAUUUGAUAAUGCUUCACUGAAGUUCACCUAUUUCAGGUAGAUUAAUAGCUUGUUCAGGAUGAGGAGCCAGGGGCCCUGUUGUAACUGUGUACCGUAGGUUCAAGGUUCAAACUUCAGAAAGCGUAAAUGUCCUUGUUUUUCUUCUACCUGUUUGCUAGUGCAUGCCUUAGUGAAUUUUAUACCUGGUGACACCUGAGUAAUCACAGGUUUGGAUCCUAUAGUAAUAGUGGGAGCCUUGUUAUAUCAUUAAGAAAGAAGUGUGUGCUGGUAGCGCUUUCCACGUUGGAAGAGUUUCAAUUUUGAAUGGCAGGGGAUUGGUGGGAUUUUUUAAAAAAUAUAUUUUCCUUAUCAUUCACUAGGAAAAAGAUUUGAAAUCUUUCUAAAAUGGAAUAUUGCAUUUCAGACCCAUCCAGACAACACAGGUAGUUAUUAGAUUGAAGUAAAUAGAUGAAAAAGGGCUGUUUAUGCUUGGACCAAUUCAUGGUGGUGAUCCAUCAACGGUUCCUUAAAUGAAUGUUUACGUGAAUACAUUAUAAUGUGUUUUAAAGUUUGUACUAAAUGAUUGUCUAAAAAUUGAUCUUAUUUUUAGAAGAGGGGAGUCUUACCACUUUUUUUUUGUUGUUUUAACUCUGUCAUGAAAUAGAUCAAUGAGCACAAAAGGUGUAUCAGCUAGCUCUGUCUCUCUGGAGAAAAAAAAAAUUCCUUUAUAAUGUGAUCUUUACGAAUGUCAGGAUAGCUGAAGCUCCCACUCAGAUUUUGCUUUUGAAGCAUUUAAAUUCAACCCUACCGUUUGAAGAUUAAGUCGCAAUGGAAAUAUUAAUGAUGUCUUUGUACUGAAAACAGCUUGGCAAUCUCUUAAACUGAUACGUUUCUAAAGAAACUCUCCAUUUCAAAUAAGAAUCUGAUAUUUGGAUCUCCUAACCGGUCUGAAAUAUAGUUUACCUACAUAGAUUGGCUAUCUAGGAGCUUGUAAACAAAUUCAUAAAUUUGUCAUGCUGAUUAUAGUGUUGGCAAACACAAUGGCUGAUCACGUUAUAAAUGUUUAUCAACACCCGCACUCACCCACCUGCUAAGAGGUGCUCUGCUUUAAUGAAAUUGUUGGAAUAUCAAGGCUGGUUGCUAAGAUACAAUGUUCUUGUUACUAGGCAUGUGAUGCUUGCAGAUUUCUGUUAUCAAAUAAUGAUUAGAGAUGUGCUAACCUCAAGGUGCUCAGUUCAGUGAAAGGUUUACUGAGCUACAAAUUAGUAAACUGUCUGCUUGAGCAGGCACUGGCAGAAGAAACAUGUGCCUCAUCCAUACACGACUGGCAUUUUAAAAGAAGACAGGAGAGGACAGGGAGGGUGGCCAUCAAUGACUGGUGGCUGAAAGUUUGCCGUAGAUGGUUUUUACCUACUGUAUGGCCCACCAUGAUAUAUCUUUAGCCAGCUGGGGAACAUGUUGAAACCCACUGACAACAAAUUCUUCCACUCAUGAAAAAUCCAUUCUUUACGUGUCCUUUAAAUUGGUUGUUGUGGAAUUAUUAACAUUAAGAAUUUUCCAUCUUUUGGUGAGAAAUGUAAGUACAUAGAACAUGUAACCCUACUGAACAGAAAUGUAUUUUAACAAGAACACAUUUCUUAAGAAGAUGCCGUGUUUAAGAAACUUAUUGAUAUAAAUGUCACAGUUAGUAUGAUAACCAAAAAAAACACCAAACCCACUGCCAUCAAGUAGAUUCCAACUUAUAGCGAAAACCCUGGUGGCAUAGUGGUUAAGUGCUAUGGCUGCUAACCAAAGGUCGGCAGUUCAAAUCCACUAGGUGCUCCUUGGAAACUCUGUGGGGCAGUUCUACCCUGUCCUCUAGGGUCGCUGUGAGUUAGUAUGAUGCAUUCUGGAAAUAAUGAUGCAAUUUUUAGAUUAAGAAUUCUUCCAGAAUAUAGAGAAUAUCACCAUGUAAGUAAUGGAAUGUUACUCUUUAUUUUCAUCUUAUCUCAAAUAAUGCAAUAGAGGUGACCAAAGCCAGGUUGUCCAGAUUGGUCCAAUUGUGGAUCUUGUUAAAUUAGGACCUGAGUUGAACUUAUGGUACCAAUAUUGCGGAUGCUUUGAGAAAACACUUUCACACUGCAAGAAUAUACAUGACUUUAUGAUGUUUUUGUUAUGCACCAUUGAGUCGAUUCUGACUCAUCCCGAACCUAUAUGACAGAGUAGGACUCCCCGCCAUGGGAUUUCCUAGGCUGUAGUAUUUACAAUAGUAGAUUGCCAGGUCUUUUCUUCCAUGGAGCCACUGGUGGGUUCAAGCCACCAACCUUCUGGUUAGCAGCCGAGUGCUGAACUGCUGCACCACCAGAGGUCCUUUUGACUUUAUGAUAGUCCACAGGAUUUCAAAGUGCUGCAGUCAUGACUAGGAAUAUUUUGGAAGUGUGUGAGCUACUGUGCUUCUGGUGUCAUGGAUAAUUUUUACUCUUGUUACUUUAUAAGAAGUUGUAAUUAUGAGGAUCACAGAUCUGAUGGAUAUUAAAUUGACUCUCGAAAGUUCCUUUAAUAAAAAUUGAAGCUGUAGAUAUAUUUUAAUAAUGAAGGUGUUAGAAUAAAAUGAUUUUUGUGUGUAAGAUCUGGCCUCCUAUUGAUCACCAACACCAUGAGAGCAGAGACUGAAUCUGUUUUUGCUCACUAUUGUAUAACUAUUCUCCGGAAGGGUGCCAGCACAGGUGAGGCGUGUUAUUAAUGAAUGAAGGAUACCUAGAGCUGGGAAAAUUUCACUAAUAUCCACAAUAGAUACUUAGAAGGUUGUCAGUUAAUUUUUUUCUUGCCUUUUGUGCAAAGUACAAAGAGAUCUAAAGAAAAAUAUAACAAUAUUUUAUAGUCGUUAAAUAUAUUUUAUAUAUCCCAGUUUUACAGAUGAGGGAAUCAAAGUUUAGAGGAAUCAGAAUGAAUUUCCCAGUGUUGCUUAUCUAAUGUGAGACAGAGCUGGGUCUGAAACCCAGGUUUAUUGUAAGCCUAGUCCUCUUUCCAGGAACCCCAACUACCUCUCUGUACUGUCAGAGCUGACUGGGGAAGACAGAGCUGCAAUCGUGAAGACCUGGGUAAGAACACAUUUUAAUUCAACUAACGUUAUGUGUCCAUCAGUUGGUAUUUAGUUGAUUCCAACUCAUGGUGACUCCACAUGUGACAGAGUAGAACUGUGCUCCAUACGGUUUUCAAUGGCUCAUUUUUCGCAUCCAGAUCACUGGGCCUUUCUUCUGAGGCACCUUUGGGUGGACUUGAAUCUCCAACCUUUCGGUGACCAGCAGAAUGCGUUAACCAUUUUACCACCUAAGGAUUCCUGUUAUAUGCUUACUUGAUGCUAAACAUUCAGUUAGGUAUGUGAAGGAAAAAAAGAAAUAAUCUGUAAAGUCUUUGGUCAUAAAACAUUUUUGGUUUAUUUGUAGAGAGGUGAUAUAUUCUCUCUAAAUAAUUUUAGGGCCAUAUAUGAAGUUCCAAAGAAAACAUGGCCUGAGCAUGGAGCAAAAACUCUCAAUGUGGGUGAGUUUAGGAGAGAUCUUUGAAAGGAUAGGGUUUGGUUGGAGGAUGUGGAUCUGUUACCAGUAAGAUCUGGGUUCAAAUUUUUGUUCUGCCACAUACUGGCGAUAUGAAUUUGAGCAAAUUCCUUAACCUCUAAUAGCAUUUCUUGUGAUAAUUUUCUCAUGCAGAUUCAAUAGUUCAGGUAUGUCAUGUGCUUGGAGCCCUAAGACAUACUCAUUGAUGAAUACUAUGGAAUUGAGCUUCAUUACAUUCAUUCUAGUCCAAAACUUGUUUCUGGAGUUCAAAUUUUUCUGCUUUAAUGAGAUAAGUAACUCUUUUUAUACCGACCAAUGUUGGAUUCCAUGAAACUGAUUAAUAUUUAUUGAUGAAUAUGAAAGGGAUGUUGCAGAAUUUUCCCAGGUUCUUAAGACUUUUGUGUUUCAAAUAGUAGAUUUACAAGCUCAAACCAAAAACCAAACUCAUUGCUGUCGAGUGGAUUCCGACUCAUAGUGACUCUAUAGAACAGAGUACAACUGUCCCAUAGAGUUUCCAAGGAGCGCCUGGUGGAUUCAAACUGCCAAUCUCUUGGUUAGCAGCCGUAGCUCUUAACCACUGCACCACCAGGGUUUAGAUUUACAAGCUAGGACAUAGUUAAUUAUAGUUGUACAGAGACUGAUAUGUAAGAGUUGCUUGGGCAGGAGUGUGUCGUGAGGGUGGGAGUGACCAGCGCUGGGUGGGGUUAUCUGGAAGAGAUUUGUUCUCUUCCUACUCACAGGGUUCUUAAGUGAGAAGCUAACUCUGAAUGUCAAAAGUGGUAUCUAAAGUCAAGGUAGUUAAAAUUACUAAUGCAAAAACCUAUUCCAGGGAGGAAGGAGCAAACAAACAAAAAACCCCAACAAAUCUCUUAACGUUCUCAGGACUGUAAUGCUUGUCGGCGAUGCGAUUUGGGCUGACUUCCCUUGGAAAUUAGCUGUUGUGGAUCCAGCAGCACACCCCUACACUUUCUCCCACUUCUUGUUUUAUCAUAAUUCAGUGCUGCUUUCUUUUUCUGGGCCUUCCGAAUGUCUCCAUUUGCAGAAUAUUUUAUCUUUAGUCUAAAUAAGAAUACUAAAUAUUUGGCCUAUUGGCUCAGAAGCCAGCUUGUCUAAGCCAAAAAUUGUCUCUACUGUCUAAUUUUUAAGGCUAUAUUUUAAAAUGCUUAUUCACCAGAGAGAAAAUUAUAAAAUGGACUAUUACAGAAAAAAAAUGAGAUUUACGCUACUUGGAGAAUGUGUUCUAUGCACCCAAACACCCAUUGUUCAUAUUUAGAGAUGCCCCUAAAUAUAGAUGUACUGAACUACCUACAUAUAAUUCAGAUCAUGUCAAAGCACAAACCCCUCUCUCAGUGUGGGGUAGUGUGGGCACUUUGUUAUCUACAGCAGCUGUUGCCUCUUUUUGAGGGGGAAAAACCUACUCCUGUUUAAAUUUAUGUUACAUUGAGCAAGUUGUGUUGCUUGGGAUUAUAUGUGGCUCAGCUGUGUCACGUGGCAUGACCUGAUAUAACCUGACUUAAUGCAGGCCACAUGCUGCACUGAAUGACACACAUUGAAACAUUCCACUUCUCCAAGGAGCUGCCUGAGCAGGUGAUUUCUCUAAAUGGCAGACACUCCCAUGCUUGUAUUUUAAACUUCCACCAGUUUAGCUAAAAAUAUCUUUAAAAGCCCACCCAAAACAUUUCCCUUGGUUAUUUUUGCAAAUUGUUGGGUGACUUACAAAGAGCAGGGAGGGAUGCAGAAGGGGAAGUUUUGAAUUAUUUACAUAAUUUGAUAGGAGGGUGCCUCCUUCAAAAAUUCACUUGGUGGAAGUCACAAAAAGAAUCUUACAUCACAUAAACAGAGUCCUAGAGAGGGGACUCAAUGAUAUGAUUGUGUUUGCUGCUGCCUUGGGUUCUAGCAAGUGGUGGGUUGUAUUUCUCACCAAGCUAAAUUUAAAACACAACCACCACAAGCUUACAUGAAAAUGCCUGUGUCCCAACAGACAACGUAUAAUAAUACACAUUGGGUUUAGUGAUGUUUUUCCCAGGAGCCCUGGUGGCACAGUGGUUAAGAGCUCGGCUGCUAACCAAAAGGUCGGCAGUUCAAAUCCACCAGCUGCUCCUUGGAAACCCUAUGGGGCAGUUCUACUCUGUCCUAUAGGGUCACUAUGAGUCAGAAUUGACUCAAUGGCACCAGGCAUGUGAGAACAACGAACACCAUUUGUCCUAAAUACAUCUUGUAGUGUUUUGCCAUCAGUGAUAAAAUUUUAUGUUGUGCCAUUCAGGCAAUUUUACUUGGCUUCCUGAAUGACUAAUAGAACACAUUGAUAGCACAAUUUAGAGCAUAUUUUUUCUUUGUUAUUAAGCAAACUGACUUAAUGGGGAUCUAACCUGGAGCCUUGAUUUCUCCAGCAUUGUGCUCCUACCAAGUAAGGUAAUUAGUCAGGUCCACGGCUUGGGACUCCCUGCAUGGCACAAAUGGUUUGCACUCUUCUACUAACCUGAAGGUUGGCGGUUUGAACAUGCCCAGAGGUGCCAUGGAAGAAAAUCCUGGUGAUCUGUAAAGAUUGUAUCUAAGAAAACCCUAUGGAACACUUCUAUUCUGCAUCACAUGAGGCUGUCAUGAGUUGGACUUGAUGGCAGCAUUUUUAUUUACUUUCUUUAUUUUAUGCCUUUAGAACCUAGUGAACCAUCACAGGUUUGGGAGUUAAGCAUACUGCUCAAAUCCCAGUUCCAGCUUGUACUAAAUGGAUGACCCAGCUCAAGUCGUUAGGCUUUUCUGAGUCUUUUUCUCAUCUAUAAAAUGAAACGUACAUUAUAGGGUGGUCAUAAAGAGGAAAUAAAACUAUGUGAAGUGCUUAGUAGAAUAUCUGAUACAUAGGAGGCAUUCAAAGCGAUGAGCUGCCAUUAAUUAAACUAUGUUAAGUUCAAUUACAGAAAGAUAAAACCAACACCGAGUAAGAUAAAUCAAUAGAUUUACAAUGAUACUCCAAGCUCUCCUUUGCUUUUUUUUUUCUAGAAGUAUUUAGGAGCCCAGCAUACCAAUCAGGUUAAUUUUCUAGGCAUUUGUUUUCUGACAUAUCUUGGUAUGGGUUUUAGAACUUUUGCUUUCUUUUCCCCUUUAACUAAUAUAUAUAUAUAUAUAUUUAUAUAUAUAUUUUACGCAGUGUUAUCAAGAUCUUGACUACUGUUUGAUUGACUGAAGACACAAUGUCAGGUUAACUGGGCCUAUCAAGAAAGGUAACGGAUUUUCAGGAAAGAAUCUAUUAAUGAUAGAAUAAUUUAUCAGUUGUAAAGUGCAUUUGUAUCAAGAUAAGUUCAUAGUAGGUGGAGCAUAAAAGAUUAUACUGCAAAAACAUAAAUCUAGUGGGUUAGAUUUGGUUACCAUCAGACAGAAAGUAAAUAUCGAAUGGGAAAUGGCUCUCCUAUAUUGGUAAAUUUACCUUUUGCCUCUAAAGAAUAACAUAUAACUGCCUUAACAGCCAUAGUUGUUUCUUUCAGAUAGAGUAUUCGAGUAAAGGCGACAUGGAAUGAUUUUCAGUCACUCCUCAGGGCAUGCCAUUACCCAUUUAUCAACCAUCCUUUUCCUCUUCUGUGAGGAAGAGCUCACAUCUUCCCUGCUCUUACUAGUUUGCCUUUGACCUCCUCUGACUUUUUGGGGACUUCUUUUCUUUAAGUUAAAUCUAAGGUUUUUCUGCUUUCUCUCCACAUUUAAGCUUUUGGAUUAAAAAAAAAAAUCUUAAACUGAUCAUUUUUUACACUUAUAUAGGAUGUUCUAGAGACAAAAUAAUUUCACGUGCUUCUUCUAACGAGACAAAAUUGAAACUGAGCAGCUGGCCUGGUUUGCUGACCCACAGAAGAUGGAUGAGUAAACAAGGGAUUUAAGAAAACACCUACGGAAAGAAAUUGGUUGGUAAAGGAAUGCUGUAUGCCAUUGAUGGCUUCCAAGAAGUAGAAUUACUGAGUGAAAGGAUAUAAAUAUUUUCAAGACCUGAAGAAAGAGUUGAAUACUUUUUAGAGGCCUAUGCAUCAUUUGGCUGAAAGAUGAUCUCCGGAAUUGGCUUCAGUUCCAGUUUAGAAAGGUGUCUAAAGACUCUGGCCUCGGGGGUUCCUUUAUCACCAUUUCUUAAAAGAGGAAACCAGGGCACAGUGAGGUUAAGAAAUUUGCCCAAGAUCAUAUAGCAGGGAAGUGACAGAACCAAGAUAUGAACCCAAUUCUUUCUGGAUCCAGGGCUUUUGCUCAUAGUCAAGGGGCUAUAUUGCCUCUACAGGGUAUGAGAGUUUUAAUAUUGGUGAAUAUUUCAAAAUUAUUCUCCAAAAUUUUAACACCAUAUUAUAGUGCUAACAAUAGUGAAGGGUGCCUAUUUCCCUACACCUUCAGCAAUCUUGAGUCAGUUUAAAUUUUGCCAUCCUGACAUGUGAGAAAUUAUCACACUAAAUAUCACGCUGGCUUGUGAGCACCUCCAGAACUAUGAAUUGGAACAUGAAGAGAAGCAAGAGAGAUCCUAGACACUUCUGGGAAAUGAUACUUGUUAUGCAAGAAUCUCUUGCUUUCAUACUGAGAAGAAGAUGAUUAAUUUGCCCUUUCUCUUACCUAAUUGUGCAUUUGUCACUCAUUUGAAGUGGAGUCCUUCUCCAAUGUCAGCAUAAACACAACCCUCAACCAUUCACAAUUACUUUUUAUUUUAAGGAUUUAGAGCAAAGGAAGAGAAGGAACAUUUCCCUGGAUUCUGAAGGGUGUUAAUUAUGAGAGUGGAUAUUCAAGGUUAUAGACUACACUGUAUUAUGGCUGGCUGCUGAAAGCCACAUGACAGAUGUGCUCACAUGUUCUUUAGUACCCUUAUUGUGUGAGUGAGUGAGUGAGUGAGUGUGUGUGUGUGAGUGACAUGGAGGGAGGUUCCAAAGAACAAGACCAAGGCAAGGCUCCAUCUUAACUAGAUCUAAAGGCACUGUUUCCUUCAUUAGUUAUUUACUGAACAUCUACUCUAUGUAGAUCUUAAGCUAAGCAUUGGGAAUAUAAUGACAACCAAAAGAAGUACUGUCCUUAAUAUUUGUGGAGCUUGUAGUCUGGCAAGAGAGACUUAAAAUAAUUAAAUUACCACACAGUCAAAUGUCAGCUGUGUUAAGGGACACGAUGGUGUGAUACAUGAUACUAUGAGAACUUAUGAACAGUCAUGAAUGUCUUCCCUGAGGAGCUGAUAUUUGAGCUAAGAUCUGAAUGAUAAAGAGUCAUUAAAAUGUUUUCUUUCUGAAAGGAUCGCAUCGGCCACUCUUAGCAGAUUUAGUUGAAGACUAGGCAGGUAAUACCUGGAGCUUUAUUGUCAUGGUCCAGAGAUAGACAAUGAUGAUGGAGGUUCAGGUGUUUGUGGUGGAAAUGGAGAAAAAGUGACAAGUUCAAGAAAUGUUUAGAAGAGAAAGUCAACAGGACUUGAUGGUUUUCAUUUGGAUAGUAAAGGAAAGGGCAGUGUCAAAGAUGAUUCCAGGUUCCUGGCUGUAUACACGGACUAGUGGUAAUGCUGUUAUCAGUUACUGGGGUCACUAGAAUAGAACUCUGCUGGGGAGAAGGACAUUCUCAGUCUGGUUUUGGAUAGGUUGAACCCUCAGUGCCUUUGAGACAUCGAGAAGAUAAGAAUCUUACCUGUUGUGUUCACUUUUGCAUAUCGGUACCUAGAGAGUGGUGUCCUGCAUUUGACAUGUGCUAAAUAAAUAUAUUUUUUUAAUAAGUCAAAGAAGGCAUGCACUUCCAAUUAUUUAGGUUACUUUACCUUUUUAAUAGUUUUUUUUUUUUAAAGCAUUUUCUUCUUGAAGAUUUAACGCAAUUUAUAAAGCUUUUUAAAGUAGCUUGUUUCAGAAAGCUUUUUAAAGUAGCUUGUUCGGUCUAAUGGUGAUGAAGAUGAUGAUGUUUUGUUGCUAUGGUUACAAGGAUUUUUUCCCUGUCACAUGCUCUGAUCAGUUUUUGCUUCUGUGUAAGAAAGUUAUUUACUUUUAAAUUAAUGUAAACCAGCCAUUUCACUUCAAUUCUCAGAUUUUUUUUUCCUAAUGAUUUUUCAAUCAAUUCUCUAGGUUCUUUUAGUUAUGGAUUUCAUUAUUUGAAAAUAAAGAUAAUUUUUGCCUCCUUAUGACCUUUUUUUAAAGAUAUUUAAACAUAUAUUGUUUCAUUUAAUUCUUCACAUGAUCUAAGUUCAAAACUUCUGAUGAGAGUCUUUCCUUAGGUAAGCCAGCAUACAGCUUUAUAUUAGAGCAAAAUUUCAAUUUUGAUAUGAAUUUGUCUAGAAAAUAUAAGUUUCAAAGCAGUUUUUUUCCAAAUUUUUUUAUUUUAACACCUUACUAAGAAAAAUUAAAUGUAAAUAAUGGGAUUGUGUAUGCUGCAAAUGAAGCCAAUGCCAGGAAGAAUAUUCAUUCAUUCAGAAGUGUCUGGUACAUACCAGGAACUGCGUCACUGGUGGAAUGCAGCAAUUAAAAAAAAAAAAAAAAAUCUGCCAUGAUGCAACUUGUAUUCUAGUGAGGAUGACCAACAGUAACCCAGACAAAGAAAUAUAUGGUUUGUUAGGGAUAGGUGUUAAGAAUAAAAACAGAGUAGGGAAGGAGAAUAUGAGGACAGGGAUGAUGAAACUUUAGUUAGGAUGUCUAGGGAAGGCCUUAUUGAAAAGAUAAUAGUACAAACAAGAAGGAAAUUAAUGGAAUGCCACCUGGCCCUCUGAUGGGUAUUUCCAGGCAGAGUAACACCUUUAGUACAAUGGCAGACAGUGUCUGGUCUGUUCUUAGAAUGGGGCUGUGGCCAGUGCAUGGAGCAGAGAGAUGGGGAUGUAAUCAAAUAAUUCAGAGAGAUAAUGGGCAUGGGUGGUAGGGUAGGUGGCAGAUAAUAAGAGCCUUAUGGGUCAUAGUAAGGAUUUUGGCUUUUCCUCUGAGUCAAAUCAGAAGGCACAGGUAUGCUCAGAUUGAAGGAGUGACAGGACCUGACAACGAAUUGGUCACUCGGGCUGCUCUAUUAAGAACGGUCUUCAAGUAGACUAGGAGAUUUGUUAAGACCUAUUUCAAUAAUACAGACAAGAGGUAAUGGUGGCUUGGGACAAUUGGUAGCAGUGGAGGUGAUGAGAUGUGAUUGUAUUCUGGAUGUUUUUGAAGGUUGAAUCAACUGGAUUUCUUAGUUGAUUAGAUGUGGGGUAUGAAUGAGAGAAGUUAAUGAUGCAUAAAGGUUUUUGGUUUGAGCACCAAAGGAUGGAAUUGCCCUUCAUUGAGAUGGGGUAGACAGGGAGAAGAAUGUAUUUUUAUUGGAGUAUAAAGGUUGUUUAUUAGGAGUUCAGUAGUUGCAUUAGAGCAGUAGAAUAUUAAGAAUGGACAGAUGGGUCUUACAGGCUUUUUUCAUCCCCUUUUUCUUCAGUCCUGACCCAUGGCAACCCACUGAUGAAUGGGUGACACCCAGGCAACAUCAAGCUGAAGUAAGGAGAGAGAAGAUGAGGAAAAUCUCAAAGUGAACAGGGGAGAGAAAAGUGAACCAGGCUACCUUCUCCUGUGUAAGAGAUUUAAUUACAUUUGCUUAUAGUGAUGUUUGUUGUUGAAUUACAGAACGUAGUUUUGUAUUACAGAAUUAUUCAUAGAUAUCCCUUUAUAAAGGCCCAGAUUCACCCAUCAUUUUAUUUAUGUAACAAAUGCUUGUGAAACAUCUUGUACGUGCUAGUUUUUGUGCCACGAGGAAGGAUAAGGUUUGGUACUUGCCUUGAAGCAGCUCACAACCUGGAGGACAAAUGUAUAUAAAUAAAUGAUGAGAGAUAUUAUUAUAGAGUGGAGGCCCCAGACCUAUGAGAUUAGAGAGUAGGGGAUGGCAUAUUAGGUGAUCUGGGCUAUGUAGCUACCUCUCUUUAUGAUUUGAUUCUGAAAUUCCAUUUUCUUGGUAUUCUUAUUUUCUUUUAUGAAUCAGGAGUUUAGCUACUAACAGAUUGCAGAGCAAUGUAUCAUAAGACUUUUCGUUGCCUGAGCUGAAUUUCCUACAGGACUUGCAAAAUCUUGGGUCAUGGGAUUCCAACCUAAGACUUAAAAGAAAAAAACAGUCCAAAGUUUCUGUUCCUUGUUCGUAAUUCUCCUAAACACGAUUAUCUAGCUUCUUCUCCAAGUGCCAUGACAAAGCAAAGUUUUUUCAAGAGAGGCCCCAAACCAACCCACUGCCAUCGAGUUGAUUUCGACUCAUAGCGACCCUAUAGGACAGAGUAGAACUGCCCCACAGGGAUUCCAAGGCUGUAAAUCUUUACAGAAGCAGGCUGCCGCAUCUUUCUCUGGAGAAGCCAUUGGUGGAUUUGAACUGCUUAUGUGCAAAAUUGAAUGUGCUCUUUAUGUUUGAAGCACCAGUACAUGUGCUUGAGACUAGUAAUAUUCAGUGGCCAAGAGUUCAAGGAGAAUUUUAAUGGUAGAGAGAUGAAAAUAUCUGUAAAUAUUGUACUCCUAUUGUUCACCCUUUCAGUAGGGCUCUGUGAGCACCAUCAUUCAUUCCAAAGAGCACACACUUAGUUCCUGUAGGAUUUCCUCUUCUGUUUUUGUUGCAGACUGGAGAUCCAAAAGAGCUUGAUAGACAUGACUGUUGGUUGCCUUAGGGUGGUCACAACCCUCUUAGCUUCUACUGUAAAAUAUUUCUUGAAAGAGACAAUACAGUUUUCUACCUUUCAAUUGAUGGAGAUGUAACGAUUGCUUUAGAUUCAUGAAGGACAUCUGUGCAAUGCCCACUGAGAUUAAGUCAUGUUUCAGAGUUAUUUUUCUUUUCACAGUCUUCUUAUUUCUGAAAAAUAUAGUCAGAGGACAAGGAAAAGGAGGGAAAGUAUGGGAAAAAAUAAAAUAAUGAUGAAGUGGUAUUUGUUAAUUUAUUUGUCUAACAAAUGCUUUUAAGUUCCCACCGUGUGUGAGGGUCAUUUUUCGUGGUUAAUUUGUGAGGGCCAAGCAUUAGGCUUGUGUCUAGAGCAGGUUAAGAGGAGAUUUCACUCCACUGUGUUUGUGUUUGGGGAAGUGUGACUUUGCUUCAGUGCUCCACCACCCUUAAGGAGUCCACACCCCUGCAAUUACCAAGAAUUAUAGAAAACUAAAAAAAACCAAACUCAUUGCUGACGAAUCUAUUUCAACUCAUAGCGACCCUAUAGGACAGAGUAGAACUGCCCCAUAGGGUUUCCAAGGCUGUGAUCUUUACAGAAACAGACUGCCACAUCUAUCUAGCAGCUGGUAGGUUUGAACUGCUGACCUUUUAGUUAGCAGGCAAGCACUUUAACCACUGUGCCCCUAGGGCUUCCGUAAGAAUUAUAGAAGUAGUGGCUUAAUGUCCUUCCUAUCCAAAGUUCCCCUUCCACCAUCUCCACAUAUGGCACCUAACCUAUGCCUUCUGCUAUGUAUCCACUCAAUUGACAUAGUUUAGCUAGAGUCAUUUAAGAAAGGUUUGUUUGUGAAUACCUUUAAUGAAAUAAUUUGCAGUGACAACAAAUAAGUUUUCUAAAAUGCUGGAGAGCACAGGAAAAGAUUAGAUCAAGAAAUCAGCUGUUUAAAAAAUUCCAUAUUAUUUUUUUUUCUAAUUGCCUAUGAACCUAGAGUAUCACAUUACAGGCUAAACAGAACUAUAUUUGCCCCUUGAUUUUGUUUACAAUUAAUUAGAUUUAAAACCUUUAUCUUUUUAUUUCCAAUUUUUAAUUUAUUUAUGUUUCGGUGUAUUUAGAAGAAUGUAUUCAGCCUAGUUUAAUGAGUAAUUAUUGAGCCCUACUAUUUUUUAUGUGCCAGGUGCUACUAGCUAGGUGCUGGUUCAUAUAUAUGACUUAGCUUCUGCAGCUUGUACUUCAGUGACCACUGGAGUGUAAUUAUAACAAUUGUCAUAAAAGCCACCGUGCUUUAUUCAUCUAUUAUGUGACAGGAACUCUGCUAGAGUUUGUUCAUAUGCGUUUUUUAAUCCUCCCAAUACUCGAGCAAGGGGCAUAUUAUUUCCAUAUUUAACCGACAAGGAAACUGAGAUUCAGUGGGGUUUGGUCACUUGCUCAAUGUAACAGCCAGUAAGAAGUAAAGUUAGAGCUUAAUAUUUGGAUCAUCAUAUUUCAUGGCUUGUACUUUUUCCAUUAUAAUACAUUGCUUUCUAGAAUGAGGAAAACCCACACCUUUAAAGCCAUGUGACAUAGGUUGAUGUGAUUUUGUGCCUAAUUAGGUGCCAUUAGUUAGAAAAAACAGUUUCUACCCAGCGUCCUAGAUGAAUUUGUAUAUAAGAAAAAAUAAAAUUAAUUUGAGUUGCUCCCUUUUCUGGAACAACUGAAAGGUGAAGGCAAAAUAAUAUUGUAUAAUUUUAGCAAGCAUCUAAAAUUUACAAAGGAAUGUUGUCUUCUCUACCUAAGUCAUAUUGGGGAGAGAACAUUAAAUUCAAUGAUAUGUGUCACUGUUCAAAAUUUUUUGCAACUCCUUUUUCUGAAAUUAUCCUUAGAUUUAUUUUUCAUCCAUCAUGCCAAGCUAAUUUUAUUAUUUAAGGAUUGAACUUAUUUUAAAAAUAGACUUGAUUAAUUUAUCAGCAGACUUAUUUCUAAGUAAGCUUUGGAUGUUUAUAAAAAUCAAACCUACUGUUUAAGAAUGACCAUUUGCCACAAUGGACAUUUAAAACAAUAUGAUAGAGGCUUUGAGGGCAAUCCCACAAAGAUAUCUUGAGCAAUCUAUAGAACCAAUGUAGUUUUUCAAAGUCACUACUUGGAAGUGGGCAACAUUUACUGGUUUGAAUUCUUAUAUUUUUAAUAAAUGAUUGCUUUGUAGUUACAUGUCAUCCAGGUAGAUCGACUGCAACGAAGUAACAACUCAAAGGGUUCUUUGCUAUGUUGUAUGUGUGUGUGUGUGAGUGUGUGUGUGUUUCUUUUGGCUCCACCUCUCCUGAUUCUUGUCCAUGAAGAAGAGAACAGCCAUUUCAGGCAGCACCUUCCAAAAGAUCAGGAUCCAAUUUAAAACAAAAAAGAUAGAGAAUGAGAAAGAGAGAGUGAUAGAGAAAGAGGGAGAGGGUGAAAUAAUCAAAAUGAGGAAGUGAUUCCUCUAGUUAUCAGAAACAGGAGCGAAGUAACAAUGGCUGAAAUUCACCUCCCCAUGGGGGAAUGAAUCAUCAAAAUAACCGGUGGAAAACAAGGUUGUGCAACCUUGACCAGCGUGUGUCACCGGCUGGUGGAAUUUUUAGAAAGGCAGCAGUUUGGGUUCAUCACUGCGGUUCGUGAUUGCACACACCUGUUUGGGGCAUGGAUUUUGCAACCCCCCAAAAAGGGGAAACUGAACUCGCUGCUCCUCCCGAGCUGUGCAAAAAAGCAGAAAACCACAGCUGCUCUAGCAGUUAACAGAUAUCAGUAAAAUACCCAUGUUACAUAAUUAAGGAUAACGUUCUUGAAGCAUAUGGGCCGGAGGUAUUAUACUCUCAUUAAAACCUUAGGUAGGAAACAAUUUAGCAUAUUCUCACACAUUUCUAAGGUUGAAUUCUAUAAUAAAUGUUUGUAAUUAGGCAUGCUCCAAACAGUUUAUUAAAUAAUACAUGAAGAAAAUGGCUGAUGAAAUAUAGACGCUGGUUCUGUGUUUUGUGUAGGGUGACACAGAGGCAUCAAGUUGAGACAUAAAAGAUUUCUUCUCAUUGACUUGAUAACUAGUCACCUUGGGCAGCUUAAGUAAGCUUGGAAGAGGUUUCAUUUAUCAGACCGGCCUAUCUGUAAUCUUAAAGAUGCAGGAAUUGACAACUCUGGAUGUUUUUCUUUUCUUUUAAACCACAUUAUAGGCAGCAGUCUUUGAACUCCUUCUCUUGAGGGGGAAGAGGUACUUUUGACCAGAGCACUAUAAAAAAGCUCAUGCAUUUUAUUUUGGCAGGGAUAGAUCAGCUUCAUGGGAGAUAACAGGGGUGGAUAGAGCCAAACCAGAACGAAAUCAACAUUUUGAAAAUGACACUGUAGCCAACAGGUGCUGUUAUAUGUAAGUGGUUGAGGAAAAAGAGAGAGAAGUCUCUUCCAAAUCACCAAGGUAGGUGUUGGAUCCCUGGGAAGUGGUAGGAAAUGUCCCUGUGAGAUGAUAUUACAUGCAGGAAAGAAAUGUUUUUAGUUCUGUAUCCUUAUUUGAUAUUCAAGCCAGGUGAUUAAUGGUCAAUAAUUCUUGCCUGAACACAAGAGUGUGAGAUCUAUGAAAAAUGAGCCCAGGAUUUGCCCAGGAAGUCCCCAAAAGAAGAAAUGAACACUUGCUCAAACCAUCCAGGUCAACUAGAUAUUUUGUUUUCCACUGCCCACAAAUAAGAAAUCUGGUAACAGAACAAUCAUGAAAUUUGGAAUGUCUUCUAGAAAAUAUGUGGGGAAACUGGGCAAGGUUGACAUAGCUUUUACUGAUUUGUCUGCUUAGUAGGUAACGGGACUGCCAGUCUGGCAGUUUGUGUUGGCAAUAAAUCACCACUAGACAUUUUAUUUAAAAAUUGGCACUGGCCUGGGGGAGGUAAGGAAUUGUCAAUUUGCUUUUAUUUUGAGGCCAGGCCCAAUCAUAACACACACAGGCCACCUGGAAACCUCAGUGCACGUGGAGAAGCAUGGCUCAAGUCUCAGUGGCUAUAUUUUUGCAUGUCUGCUGAGUGCAGAGCUAAACCAGAGCCUGGGGAUGCUGACCAGAGAGUUUCUGACAGGGUGGCACAGCUUGGAGACACCUCUUUUGGAAACCAGGUUGGUUCUAGAGUUAUGAGAUAGGAAGGAUUUCAUAGUUAUGAUAUAAACCAAAAAACUCAUUGCUGUUGAGUCAUUUCUGACUCAUAAUGACCCUCUAGGAGAGAGUAGAACUGCCCCACAGGGUUUCCAAUGAGUGCCUGGUGGAUUCGAACUGCCGACCUUCUGGUUAGCAGCUAUAGCUCUUACCCACUACACCACCAGGGUUUCCUAGUUAUGAUAUAGUAGGGAAAAUUUGAUUAUUUUUUUAUUUUAUUAUACAGAGUGGGAUCUAUGGAGCCCAUGCAUAGCACACAACGAGUGUAUUCAAAACCUCACUCUAAUGCUUAAGAAUUCCGUAGCUCUCUGUUUUUGUAUCUGCCUUAUUUUGCUUGGAAGUUCACUUUCAAAUUUAUGAUAAAUUGAGUCAUAAUCUGGAGAGAAAAAAAAUACUGAAGUAAGGCAUCAAGGAAGCAUGGUCCUCAUUUAAGCAAUGAUAGAUACUCUGUUUUUGAAAAGCAGUGUAAUUAAAAGUUGAUACAAUGGGAAAGAAACAAGUUACCUUGGACUCCUAUGGUUAUUCUAACAGAAAUAUUUGAAACGAGUCCCCUUGCUCUCAUCUGUUUCCCGAUUUCCUUGAAUAUUCAUCAAAACCUUGCAACGUCCCUUCAUAUAUUUUUGGAUUUAAGUAUACUCAUUUUGAAAACAUAAAUGUUAGUGUGUCAGGACAAGUACAUUACAUAUACAUUGAUUUACCAAACUACCAAUUUUUUCUUCUGUUUGCAUAUGAUAUUUAUAAAUCUUAAUUGUACCUCAUAUCAUUACCAUGCGAACUCUUAGAAAAGGAUCUGGUUUAAGAUAGAGAUGUAUUGACUUAACCAUGACCUCAUGAAUAAUUCAAUUUGUUCACUUUCUGGAAAUACACAGUUUGCUCUUGUUGCUACAAAUAUUUGAAUUGGAUUUAACUUGUCCAUCAGAGAUUUUUUUUCCUCUCUCCUGGAUUUCAUAUACGUAAUUUUGAUAUCAAAAUCUACCAAAAAGUAGGAAAAAUAUGCUCCCUAAUUUAUGCUUGCUGAAGUCAUUCAAAGUGACAUAAAAUGACAAGAACGAACAAGGAAAUCGCUUCAGUGAUAUGCUGAAGCAUUUGGCAGUUUUCCUGGUAUUUGGGACAUGAGAAUAUUUAAAGAUAAGAGAUAUGUGGCAUUAAUUACUCAUAAAAACUUGAAGCAUCAUAUAUCUGACCUGAUAGGAUUCCUCUUUGUUUGUUUUAAAAUACAUAGUUUCAGAUCACUUAACAAAUAUUUACACAAGUAAAUAUUUAAAUAUCCUCUUAAAAAUUUAAUGACAUCCAUAUAUCUUAGAUUGCAAAGUCCUAUAAGAUGUCUGCUAGCAAAUGACAAUAUUCAUAAAAAAAAAAAAAUAGAAAAAUGAGAAAACCCCCAGAGCAGUCACUUAAAAAAAAAAAAUACCACAAUUCUGCCAGGUUGAGCACAUCCAAUGCCUGCACUAAAUGUCAUGUCGGCAAAUCUUCACUCAAAAAGAUCAAGACGCAGCAUAUAUGAAGCUAAGGAAGAAAUAAAGUGCCUAACACCUCAAAAUAUCUUGGGGAGCCUCCAAAAUGAUACAAGUAAUUAGCAGGUGUUGAGAUUUUUCAUUUUGAUUUGCUCACCUAGUCAUUUAACAGUACGUUUUGUAGAAGGUAAGGUAAAGAUUUUCAUCUUGGCAUGUGUUUCCAACGUUUGCUUGGAUUUAAUAUACACACUAACUUGGGUAGAAGUUUUCCAGUCUGGAUUUAUCAGCCUUGAUGGCCCUGAAAGCUAAUAUGUAAAAGCUUACAAGGUCCAUGAGCAAUGAACACUGCAGAUUUCCAGCUAACCUGUUAAUUCCAGGGUAGUUAAGGUGCUAGGAGCCCUGGUGACGCAGUGGUUAAAUACUCGGCUGCUAACUGAAAGGUCAGCGCUCGAACCCACCAACUGCCCCUUGGGAGAAAGCUGUGGCAAUCUGCUUCCAUAAAGAUUAUGUAUAGCCUUGGAACUCCGAUGGGGCAGUUCUACUCCGUCCUUCAGGGUCAUUAUGUGUCAGAAACAACUUUGAAGGCAGUGAGUUUGGUUUUAUUUAUUUAUUUAUUUUUGGUUAAGCUUCUAGUGUUUACCUUCAUUAUUUCUCCUACUGUUUAAGAGUUACUAUGAGGCAAAAUUAUGUGUGUGUGUGUGUGUGUACUUAUGAGUGUGAAGGAAAUGUUAACUCUAACUCCUUUUGUGGAGAUCAUAGCUGUAAUGUUGUUUUCUUAAAGAAAAUCCUUUCUUUUUUAUCCUGGAGUUCUGAUGUGGAUAAAAUAGUUGGCUUAAGUAAAAUGUAUUGAGAUAUGGGGAUUAAUGGGGAUAAAAAUGAUUCAGGGGAAAAUAGUAUAUUUUUUAAAAGGUAUCUUGUUCUCAAAGAAAAUAAAAUGUUAUUAACGUUCAUUGAGUUCUUUGAGCACAAAAGGGCACGUGCGCGCACAAACAUUCUCACCCUCACUCACUUGCUUGCUAACUCAAGCAAAAAUAGUCUCUGAGGGAAAGAGAUGCAACACUGGUGCCAACUUCCCCAACAUACCCAAGAAUUUCUUUAUUUAGAACUUCUCAUGUGCUAUUUUUUUUUUUUUAAAUCUCUGGAAUCCCAGGGAUUUUCCCAUCCCUCUACAUGCUUGAGACGUUUCAGAGCAUGGUAACCCCCUCUUGGAAUCCUCUAACUCUUCUGGUUUAUUUUUAAAAUGCAGGCACUGUUAGUAUACAGGGAAGUGACUGUUCCUAUGGCAAAGGAAGGUGACAUGAUUCCCAGCCUGUGCAACAAUACUUCUGAAGAUCGUUGUAGGGUAGAGAGGCCAACACCAUAAGCCACCAAGGCCUUUCAUUAAGGUGCUCCUGGAAAUCAAGGGAUUUUAGUCAAGAUUUAAAAUCAAGAACAUUCUAAGAAGAAGAAGAACUUAUAUUAAUCACGGGCUUCAAUCCACAUGCAAUUCAUCCAAGGUGAUUUCUGAAUAAUGGUUUCCAAUAAAGAAAUUGAGGCUCAGUGAAUCACAUGAGCUGACCAAAGGAUUCAGGAAGAUUCCUACGGAGGACUAACCCAUGGAGGACUAACCCACAAGGAUUUGCCUUAGAAAAAACAAUCUGCAUGUCACUGGGAAGACAGAAAAGAAGAUCAUAAAUACAAUCAUGGCCUUGAAUCUUCGCCCACUCAGAACUGCAUGUGUGUUCUUCCAAGUCAUCACUCUAUACCCAGAACUGCCUUUUCUUGAACACACCACAGGAUACCUCACCCUUUUACUCUUAGGAGUCCAUCUGUUCUGUGAAGCAUUCCAGUGACAAUAACCACCUACCACCUUGUGCUGUUAUACAGUUAUCUUUUCACCCUCAUCCUGUUGAUCUUGAGUGUAUUAUUUAAGACGAGUACUUUUGUUCUUUCUUUGCUUUUAAAUUAUAACUGGUGACAUGCUUUAUAAACUCAUAAAAAUUAUACUUCACAAAGGGACGUCCAACAUAUUAGGUAAAGCCAUUUAUAACAAUAUGACACCUACAUGAAGAGAGAGUUGCAUUGCGGGUAGAGUAGUAGGUUAUCUCAAUGGUUUAUUGCAAUGUCAAGUAUUCAUAUUUUCAGGUACGAGCCUUGUGGGACCAGUUAGCUUUAGUAUAUGCUAUAGUUGAAAACUUUAGCUUUGCAAUAUUCGGCUAUUUCAAGACUAAGGUGAUGUUACUGGGAGUAUGAAGGUAGCAGAGUGGUAUAGUAUAAAGGACAGUAUUCAGUCUAUCAGACCUGGGUUCAAAUUCCAUCACCAGUAUUCGCUUGUGAUCCUAAACAAAUUAAAUGACUUUUCUGAAACUAUUUUUUUAAAUGCAAAAUUAUGAGAAUAAUUCUCAUGUUUUAGAAUUUCUAUGAAGGUUGAGUGAAGUAAUGGAUAUUUGGAAGAACUAAUUGCAGGGUCUGACACAAACCAAUUCAACGUAUGUUUAUAUCUACAAUCCAAAGCUCUACCGAGAGAUAUAAAAAAUAACUUUCUACCUGAUUCCUCCGUGUUAGUUUUUUCCCCAAGCCCUAUGUAUCAACAAGAUGAAAAUGCACUCAUCCUCUCCCUUCACCCCCCAACCUACCUCUCCUGUAUUCUAAUCUCUGGAUGAAUGACAUUGCUACUCAAAUACGUCCUCAGUCAGAAACUUUUAUUUCUCACUUCUCACAUCCAACCAAGCACUGAGAGCCAGUGGAUUUUGCCUCUUAUAUUCAUUGUUACAGUCAAUGCCUUAAUUAAAACUCAAAUACCUUGCUUGCAUCACAGUCAUUUCUAAAUCAACCUCCCAGUUUUCAGUCUUAAAAAAAAAAAAAAAAAAAAGAUUAAAACCAAGCCAUGGCCAUACAGUCAAUUCUGACUUACAGUGACCCUGUAAGAGCAGAAUUGCCCCACAGGGUUUCCAAGGCUGUAAUCUUUACAAGAGCAGACUGCCACAUCUUUCUCCCAUGGAAUGGCUGAUAGGUUUGACCUUUCAGUUAGCAGCCCAGUGGUUAACCACUGCACUACCAGGGCUCCUUUUUCUCAGUCUAGGAUGUUGCAAUUCAUACUCCUUACACGGGGGGAUCUUUUUAAAAAUAAAAAUCUGUUCAUGUUAUUCUGUUCCAAAUCAUUCAAAGGUUCCUAUAACCUACCGGACAAAAUUCAAACUUUUUAGCAUGAUACUCAAGCUCUCUCUGGUUUCAAUAUUUAUUACUCUUCUCUAUACACACUGAGGAAACCCUGAUGGUGUAGUGGUUAAUCACUACAGAUGCCAACCAAAAAGUCAGCAGUUUGAAUCCACCAGGUGCUUCUUGGAAACUCUAUGAGGCAGUUCUACUCUGUCCUAUAGGGUUGCUAUGAGUCUGAAUCAACUCGACAGCAGUGGGUUUAGUUUUUUUUUUUUUUAUAUACACACUGAAGGAACCCUGGUGGCACAAUGGUUAGGACUCAUCUGCCAACCUAAAAGUCAGUGAUGCGAACCCACCCAGAGACUCUGUGGGAGAAAAGACCUGGUGAUCCGCUCCCGUAAAGAUUACAUUAUAGUGUUACUAUGAUUUGGAAUCAACUUGAUGGCACACAACAACAACAUACACCCUGACACCUCUCAUUACCACCACACAUUUCUCUACAGUCACCCCGAAUACAUUACUGUUUGUCUUAGUCUGAGUUCUAACAAAAGCAGAGCCCGAGGCAAGGAUAUGGUUGCAGUUUAUUUGGGUGAUGAUAGAAAGGAAUAGAGAAGAUAAGGUAUGUUCUUGUCAGAGUAUGUUACUGAAGUUCCUACAAAGGGCAAUAGAGCGUCAUUCUUUGAAACCUCUGAGGAACCUGUAGUACCACCAGCAUCGGCAGAAGGAUAGGAAGCUGAGGUGUUCGUCUAUCAUCUCCACUGGUUGAAGGAUGCCUUUGGGUAUAACACUCAACACUUCCAAGCUGUAUUUGUGCAGGGGCUAGUGUGCUUCAAGAACUUCAGAGAAGUGCUUGAAGUGAGAAGUGCUUGAGUGGGAUGCUGACUCUGAACUUGCACAGAACUGUGUAUCACAGCUGUAGCUGAAAUCACUGAUGGGCCAAGGGACAUGGCAGUGAACAUGAAAGAAUGGUCAUACUGCCCUACGCUUCUGUGCUUUUCAUGAAUUAUUCCCAUGUACCUAAUAUGUCUCACCUUCUCCCAAUUCAUAUCCUUAAGUUAUAUGAUCCCUCGAGUUUCAGUUCCAGAAGUAGCCCUGCUAGGAAUUAUCCCCUGAUCAUCAGUAUUACCUGACUGUCUUUCUUUUCUACUGCCAUCGCAUUCAGGAUGGUGCUACACCAUGCCGCAUAUCAUAUACAGUUGUUAGUUGCUGUUGUGUAGAUUCUGACUCAUGGCGACUGCAUGUGUGCAUCGGUAGCACUGCUCAUGGGGUUUUCAAGGCUGUGACUUUUUGGAAGCAGAUCACCAGGCCUGUUUUCUGAGGUGCCUCUUGAGGGGUUCGAACUGCCAACCUUUUGGCUAGUAGUCAAGUGCUUAACUGUGCCAGCAAGGGAUUCUACAUAUCACUAAAUGGCACUUACUGCUUUACUAUCUUUCUGUCCCUAGAAUAAAAACACCUUGAGAGUGGGCAAUGUUUAUUGAAUAAAUGAAGGCAUAAACAAAUAGAAGAAAAUGGAGCCACCAGAUCGAUCUUUCCAAAGUGUUAUUUCCAAUCAUGUCAUUUUUUUUCGUCAAAAAUCAUUACCUCUACCUUGCUAACACAUAAUGAUGACAUUCUUUAACUUGAAUUUCUAAGUGGUCUAUGCAGUAGUCCUCCCUUAUCCAUGGUUUUGCUUUCUGUGGUUUCAGUCGCCCUCAUUCAACUACGGUCAGAAAAUGUUAAAUGAGCAGUGUGAUGAAAUCUUGUGCUGUCUCACUCUGUCUGCACAGGACGUGAAUCAUCCCUUUGUCUAGCAUAUGCACGCUCUAUACGCCACCCCCCGCCCCCGCCACUUAUCGCUUAGGAGCUGUUUCAGUUAUCAUAUCAACUAUCAAGGUAUCACAGUGCUUGUGUUCAAGUAACCCUUAUUUUACUUGAUAAUGUCCCCAAAGUGUAAGAGCAGUAAUGGCGGCAAUUCGAAUAUGCCAAAAAGAAGCUGUAAAGUGCUUCUUUUAAGUGAAAUGGUGAAAGUUCUCUACAUCAUCACAAGAAGGCAUGAAUUAUUUAAUAAAAACACUAAAAUAUUGAAAAAACAUCUUCCUUGAUUUUCAUCCCUUCAAGAAAUGGAAGCAUGAAUGUGGAGUAUGAUAAUAUUGGCACUUUCAACUUUUUUGCCCUGUGUGAGUAUCAUUUAAUAUUGAACCAAUUAUAAAAUAUGGAAAUCAUAUGUGUUUAAAUGGACGUUGGUUUAUCAGUCAAUGAAGCUGAACUAAGACUACGUUGAAUGAUAGAAAAAUAAUUUCUUAGUAUUUAAUGAAUUGAACAAACCUUUGUUUAUAUGAUAUUUAUAAGCUUUAAUUAUAAUAGAAUUCAGAGUUUUGAACACAGUAUGUUUUUCAGGUUAAUUCUGUGGGUUUACUUCUUUGUUUUUCUUCACAUAUGAUAAACUUAAGCUGGAGAUUUACUUAUAGUAUGCUAGAAAAUUAAAAAAAAAAAAAAAAGAUUAAAAAACCUCUCCCUCCUCCCUUUUGGCUACCUUCGCUCUAAUUCUUCCAAUAUUAAUACAAUGUUGCUGACUAUGUUAUGUUGUUACUAGGUUGUGCCAAAUCAAGAGAAUAAUUGGACAUUAAGAUUCAUCUCUGAAUACAUUAAUUAGAUGAUUUCUUUAUUUCUGUCUUAAGUUACUAAUGAUUUCCUCUCCAUAACUAGGGAAACUCUGGAAGAACUCAUUAGCCUUUUGGGAUUCUACAGCUACUUUAUGAUGAUUUUUGGUGGAUGUGGCCAUUCUGGUAACAUUAGAGUUUAUAUCAAGUUCCAAAAAUUAAAAUUUCAAAAAGAAAGGGUACUGUUUAGAUUUAAAAUGUGCUCCCUUCAGGAGGUUAUUUCUCUUCAGAUAAAAUACACUCCAGAACAAUGGUACCUAUGGAGAGACAUGAGGACCCCAUGAAUACUAAUGUGCUCAUCAGGAUGAUCAUUGAGAAGUCACAUUUUCUCUAAAUACUGAGAUUCUACAGAUAUCUCCUAUACAUGCAGAAGACAUAGCCACAAUAUACCUCAUUUCAGAGGUUAUAUGCCUUACUACACCGAGAACUCAUUGUGAACAACUCAGUCUUCACGUUUGCGUUUCUAGGGCCUUGCCCAGUGCCAUGUAUAGGAGAAACUCAAUAAACAAAAAAAAACAAAAUUAGCUAAUUAAGGAAAUCUUUUAACCUCUCUGAGUCUAAGGAUGUUAAGCCAGAAAUCUGCAGGCCUUCCCUGUUGUAAUAUUCUAUGAAUCUUAAGCAGAACUAUUCUUUUUAUAGGUAGUGAAAACUUUUCAAAGAUUCUUUUUCAUCACCAUGUCUUAAAUUACUAUAAUUUGAUAACAUUUCGUAUAAAUAAGGUUUUACUUUGAAAUGAUAAAGUUUAAUCAAAUGCUUUAUAUCUUUCAUUACAGUAAUACAUGCAGGUAAAACACAUCAAACGUUAAUCAGCAGGAAGCAAGGAUGUCGGGGGUGAGCUGAGAAAGUACCAGCUUGGAGCUCAGAGUCGCUAACACGGGAGAGGCGCUAACAUGGGAGAGGCUCUCCAAAGAAAACUCAGCCUCUUUCACCAUUUCAUUUAGCCUGAGUGGGCCUGUUUUUUCUUUUUUUUUUUAGCCUGCCAUCUUUCUUCCAUGAAGUCCUUGAGUAGUGCAAACGUUUAACGUGCUUGGCUGCUAACUGAAAGGUUGGAGGUUUGAGCCUAUCCAGACAUGAUUCUAAAGAAAGCCUUGGCAAUCUACCUUCGAAAAGUCAGCCAUCAGUUUUAUUCUGACACACAUAAGGGUGCCAUGAGUCAUAAUCAACUCAAAGGCAACUAGCUAUCUUUGAUCCAUAUGCGUUGGUGCCAUUUUCUUGACACAAUGGAUGUUGCCCCAAAAAUCUUCAGUGUACACUGAUUUUUUAUAAAUUAGAUCACGGCAUACAACAUACAGGUUGUACGGUGACCUUUAAGAUCCUUUAGGGCUUGACAUUAAAAGGAAGCAGGUUAAGAAUACUUUCCUAAGUUCCUCUGUUUUUCCAAUAUACUGAAAUUUAUUGGUAGUAAGUUCGAGUUUUCUGGAUAUUUUUCUAUAUGGUGGAUUUUGCCAAAGAGCUAAAAAUCAAAUGACUCUUCUUUCAAAUUUGGAAUAGAAAGAGGAUUUUUACUGCUUCCACUUACUGACUGCUGCUCGCGUAGAAUUGUCUGUGCUCCUGAAAGCUGUCAACUAUAGUUUCAAUUUUUAUAUAACCAUUAGAGGUAAAGGCAGGGUUAUGGCUUUCUCUCAUGGCCUCCCUUGAAUUGACAGAUAGGAACACUCUUCAGAAAGGAGAUACAGUUGUUGCCUUUUUAAAAUUGUAAAAAUAUGUAUAGAAAAAAAAGAUUUGCUAAUCCAACCAUUUUUACACGUAUACAUUUUGUUUAUUCGUCUGUUGAUGUACAUUUUGGUUUUUCCACAUUUUGGCUAUUGUGAAUAAUUAGCUACUACUUUUUUGUUAAUAGUCAUUUGCAAUCUUGUUGUUAGGCCUUCCUCUUUUUUCACUGGCCCUUUUCCUUACCAAGCAUGAUGUCUUUCACCAGAGAUUGGUCCCUCCUGAUGACAUGUCCAAAGUACCUGAGAUGAAGUUUUGCCAUCAUCACUUUUAAGGAGCAUUCUAUCUGCACUUCUUCCAGGACAGAUGUGUUUGUUCUUCUGGCAGCCCGUGGCAUAUUCAAUAUUCUUCACCAAUAGCAUAUUUCAAAGGUGUCAAUUCUUCUUCAGUCUUCCUUAUUCAUUAUGCAGCUUUCACAUGCACAUGAGGCAACUGAAAAUACCAUGGCUUAGUUCAAGUGCACCUUAGUCCUCAAAGUGACAUCUUUGCUUUUGAAUGCUUUAAACAGGUCUUUUGUAGCAGGUUUGCCCAAUGCAACAUGUCCUUUGAUUUAUUGACUGCUGCUUCCGUGGGCAUUGAUUGUGGAACCAAGUGAAAUGAAGUCCUUGUAAAAUGAAAUCCAUGACAAUUUCAGUGCUGCAAUUUUACAGGCUUGAAACGGAGUUGACUGCAUUGCCGAAGAUAAUGUCACUGAGUUCUCAUGGCACUUUGCAGAUCUGUGGAACCACAGUCCUGCUAGUAUCUUUGAAUAAGAUCUUGUAUUUCAACUGGAGGCAUGCCAGAGUCACCUGACCUCAUCUAACUUCACAAAGUGGAAGGAAAAUCAAGAUCUAAUCACCAAUGCUGAUUCCUGUGAGGUGGAGAUUGGCAGAAGUCUAAAUGUUUGUUAAAAGUCCCUAUUGUUGAGGAAAAGUGGAAAUUUGAUGGCACUAUUGAAGGUUCUUUGGCUGUAUCUAUUAAAAUCACAAAUGGAAACACCUCUUGACCCACCAAUUUCACCUCUGGGAGGAGAUGCCAACAUAGUCUCAAGUACCACCUGAUUGAUCAAGAAGCUCGCUCCACACCUGCAUCCUUCUCCAACGCAUUGUCCAGUCCAAUCCCUGACUGAAGAGUUGGCUUUAGGAAUGGUUGCUGUCCUGGGCCAACAAAAGAGGUGUUAGUAAGCUGUGUGGUUGGCUCCUUCUCCCUGAGGAAUCUGUGGCCGAACUCUCAUACCAUCCCACCACUGCUGCUCCGGGAAUGGUGCUUGAGGGGUCCCUGCGAUUCAGGUGUGGUAACUUCUCUUUGCUCCUGAACUGUCUCUUCCUUCCCUGCCCCUCAGGUUGUUUUCUAAGCUUGUCUUUGAUUCUCAGGGCUCAUAGCUUGUUAUAGAUAUACUCGUUUCAGUUGUUUUUUUGGGUCUUUGUUGUAAAGAGUGCUAGCUGCAAGCAUCUGUCUAUUCUGCCAUCUUGGCUCCACCUCCUGGCAUUUUCUAUUUUUAUGAUUCUUUGAAAGAAAUUCUGUUGAAUUCGGAAUGCAUUCUUUUAUUUUUUCUUGUAGAUUCUAAUUGAACAUAAAAGAAUGAUUUUUUACAUCUUGGGGUUAUAAUGAAUCCAUAAAUGAUACUCAAAAUUGCUUUUUAAAAAAAUAACUUCACCUGCUUAAAAGAACUCACAGAUGAUAGUCAAGAUGCUUUAGAUAGAUGGAUUUCUGGUUGUGGUCUCCAAACAAAUGUCUUCCAGAGCAGAGGAAAUUCUCACAUGCUCCCUUUCACCUCUUUUAUCACAUUUCCUCCAAGAGUACCAGUUCAUGAACCAAGGAUGACUCCAAAGGUUUUGGGCCUGAGGGAGGACCUGGGUUCAACAGCAGUUCUGGGGCUUGUUCUGAUGUGCUAAUCCUGUGACCGCUUCUUGGCUUUUCCUUAGCCUUGGCGCCUACUCUUGGCAUGGAUCUUGGGCCUUGGCUUAGUUAACUCUGUGACUUCUGGUUCUGAACACUGGCUGUGACCCCAGAAUAAAUACUUGCAGCAACCUCAUUAGAACUUCUGGUCUGUGGUUCUAUCAUGGUUUCCUGGCUCUAGGCUGCUUCUCUAAUGCCAGCUCACAAACUUGAGACUUUGUCCAGAACUGUAUGGGAAAUUAUUUUUGUAAACUGUGACUGACUAUACAAAUGUAAGAGAUUAAUAAUGUUAUUUUGAUUCAACCUUCUGACAAAAGCACUAAUAAAGAAUGCAAGUGUAUAGUGGUAAGAGGGGAAAAAAAGUCCAAAGCUUUUGAUGAUACAAAUCAAGGAUACAUAAAUGUCCAAAGUUUUUGAAGAUACAUAUGAAGGUAAGAGACCCUUCUCUCCUGGCUCCGUAUUUGAAAGAUUUACUAUCUAUACAGUUUCCUUAUUCUAUUAAGAAAAAAAAAAACUUCAAAAUUUGUUUAUUGUACUUUCUUCUCUUCUGAGUUUCGGAUCUAUAUAGCCAACUGUCCCCAUGGUUGUUCUGUGUGGAGACCCCCCAGAUAACUCAAAUAGAAUAUGUCUAAAACUGAACACAUUCUAUUCUUUCUUCAUCUCUUGACCCUGAAGCUGCUUCCCCUUGUAUGGUCUCCAAGUUCAGGGAAUGAUCCUACAAUCUACUAAUUGUCUAAGUCAGAGACCUUGGGAUCAGCCUUGGUUCUUCUGCUCUCAUCCCUGACUAAGAAUUCUUAUGUUCAUCUCUUUCAUUUUCUUCUAUCUGUCUUCUACUACAGACUUAUUUCACCUCUUGAAUGGAUGAUUGCAAUAGUCUCCUGGCUGAUCUCCCUGCUUCCAAUCCUGCCCCCAUUGCAGUACUGUAUGGAAAAGAAAGUGAAAUUUUGAAAAUACACAUCUGAUUAUGUUACUUUUUAGAUGCUGUUUCUACCACUUGGAAUACUCAUUUUCUGUGUUCCAGCAGCUAAUAUUUCUUUAAAUUUGAGCCUAAAUAUCAAAACAUCCGGGGUUUUUUUUUUUUUCCUCAAGACCCAAACCCAUUAGGAAUAACUUAGAUGCCUGUCUUCAUAGUACUUCCUUUCUCAUAUUAAAGUGCUUAUCAUCCUGUAUUAUCAUCACCCAAUUACUUGUCUAUUUUAUAAUAGUGUAAAGACUAUUAUAAGGCACCUAAUGGUAAAAGCAACAUAUGUUUCAUUAAUUGUCGUAUUUCUAGGGCUUCACAUGAACCAGGAAUGCAGUAGGUCUUUAAUAAUAUUAUGUGAAAUAAUUGAAUGAAUGAAUAAAUGAACUUUGAAAAUGAAAUGUAAAAUAAUUCAAUUACUAAAACAAGAAAAACAAGAGCAGAGGAAAUUCUUCAGAAUGGCUAACUAAGUGAAAGAGAGACUCAUAGCUAAAUAAGAACAAGAAUAAAGGACUCAAAGGGUAAAAUGUGAUAACAGAUUAGCAAAUAUAAAGACAGAGAUGAGUAGUUUGCUAAUUCUUCUCUAGGUAAGGUAGAGAAAGAGGUACCGAGAGAAGGACAUACUCUUUGCCGAUGUUUCCCAGGACAUCAGAAAAAAAAGAUUAAAAAAGAUGUAGAGAAAGUAUUAACGUGCAUAUGCGCAAGCUCACACACAUAGAAAGAGAGAGAGACCAACAUAGUAAUAUAAGUAGGCUCUCAUAUAGAAAAGGGAAGUGCAGUGGGUGUCCUUGAAACAUUUUAUCACUAUAACUCUUUGAAGCUAUGAAGGGCAUAAAGAGUUAACACUUUAUUUCAGUUUUGCAAUAAUAGACAUAAAUGGGGUGUUGCCUUUUGGCACUUUCCCCAUGGGUUAGAAAAAUUAGAUUGCACACAGGAUUUUCCCCAACUCUAGGCUAGCUCUUUAAUAGUGGAGACUUUACUGUCAAACAAAUGCUAGUUUGUAUUAAAUUACUGGCACAACAUUUUCAACAUAAACUGUGCAACAGUGGCAAGAAGGUAAGGCUUCAAAAUCCCAGUAAUGCUGCCUUAUUAUGGUUCAUCUUUAUCUGGCUAAAACAUAACCUCAGUAAGUGAACUGGAUAUUGCCUAUUCUUUUGAAAUAUUAUUAUUGCAUUACAUAUUUAUUAUUACAUAUAAAAUUAUUGGACAUUAUUUUCCUAUUCAAAACUCUUGAGCAAAGAGGAUUUGGGUCUUAGCCAAUCUUAACUAGAUCUCAAGCUGUGGAGUAGCCCCAGUAGUUAUCGGAGUUUCAGAAACACAAUAGUAGUAUAAAUAUAGCUUUCCUAAACUUAACCUCACCUACUAUUAUCUUCUUUAUUUCCGUUAAUGAGGAAGAUGCUAAUUCUAUUCUAAGAAAUAAUUGAAAUAACUGUUUAUAUUUCCAUCCACAAUCUUCUCAGUAACUCCUUUAUAUAGAUCUUGUCAUGCGUCUGCAUGUUAAGUCGUCAUUAUCAGUGUUACAUUGUUUAAUAAGAUACCAAUAUUGAAAUUGUUGCCUUUAAGAAGAAUGGGAAAAAGAAGAAGCCAUUACUGGAAAGUUUGUAUUAAAAUUGUUUUUCAUUCUCUGAUUUCCCCAUUAUAUUCUCAGGCAUGGUCUCAACCUGAGAAAAAAAAUUUUUUUUUUUCCUUUGGCAGCUAAUUCUUUAUUGUGGGCUCUGCUGUGCACUAAGAUAUUUAGCAGUUUUCCUAGACUUUACCUGUUAGAUAACAGUAGCAUCUCCCAAUUGUGACAAUCAAAACUGUGUUCAGACAUUGCCAAAUGUCCCCUGGGAGGCAAAAUUGACCCUGGUUGAGAAUUGCUGCUCUAGGAUUUAUUUGUAUCUUGUUUUCUGUUGUUUACCUAAAUGUUAUAAAGUCCAGGCUCUGGUAAAACCCCAAAUAUUUUUUUCAAGUGAAUGAAGAAAAAUCUCUUGUCUUCCCUACGUUUUAAAUAACUGUCACAAAAUGUUUCAGAGGACUCACUAUGUAUCAGCAUUGUAUUACAUGCACAACUUGGUUUUUGCACUAAAAAGUUUUUAAUCAAGUUGGAGAGAGAAGAUUAAUACUCACUCAAAGAACAUGAAAGACUAAUUGAAGGCAGAAUACAUUGGUGAUGGACUGAAAGGCAGAGUGGUUCCAAAAUGUAUGGCACAAGCUAUGGUGAAGUUAUUGAUCUUCUGAUUUGAUGUUCCUUGAAUCUUCUAUGACCUCUUUUGACAUGUGGGCACUGGAAAAAUGCUGGUUUAUUAACUCGAAUCUCUCUGCUAUGAUAUAUAAUAACAAAGAGAACAGUAAGAAAAUAUUUUGUUUAAACGAACCAGAUCACUUUUACAUGUGAUGGCCAAGCCAUGCUGGGGAGGAGGUGCUGAGCCUGGUUAUGUUAGUGAUUGAGUGGUAACUGAAGAAGACAAAUCUAACCAGACAUGGGAAGUCCGCGGCAGACAUGUGAGCCUGCAGAGUUUGAAUGAGGGCACGUUAAUGGAGAUCAAACCAUGUUUUUCCGCUAACAUCAGACCUUAGCUAUUUAAUGAUUAUAAAACUUUCCUAACAUUUACAAGUUUCUAAAAACAUUUAUUUCCCUUUAUUCCACACAAUUCUCACUGCCAUCAAAAAGAUUCAUGCGAAGAGUUUUUGUGUUAGCUAAAUAACGUCCAAAACAAAAAACAAAAAAUCCUUUCUUUCGCUGUUAACCAUUAAAACCCUGGUUGAUUGGUUUUAAUCAAAUUGAAAUCUCCUGAAAUUUUAUACUGGGAUGACUAACGGAUCUCUGAAGGAUAGGAUAUGGUGAAUUUCUACAAUGUCUUUUUCAUAUAAGAGAAAUUUCCAAAUUAAAUAAUCUGACACAUUUCAAAAAAUCACACACAUAAAUUGCAAAGUGCUCUUUUCUAAUAGCUAUGGAAUUUAAUUAGUAAAAAAAGACUUCGGAGAAUACUAAAUUGAUGGAUGUUACUAUGACUGUUCAUAAAUAUUUUGGCAUUCCCACCUCCGGGGCCCAUAGAACUGUGUUUCCCCAUCAACUUGAAACUAGGUGUAGUGACAUGACAUGCUUUAGCCAAUGAAACAUGUGCAGAGGUAACACAUCACUACUCGUCAAAGAUUUUAAGAGGCAGUACGUGAUUUUCUUUCGCCAGUGUAACUGGUGAUAUUCCAGAUAGAGAUAGCACUGUUAUCUUGAGUCUCAGGGUGAAGAUAAAGAUAAAUCAGGAAAAUGACCCCAGCUGAUCUGCACAGACAUGUAGCUGAAAGGAGAAAUAAAACUUUGUUGUUUACAGCCGAUGAAAUUUUUGUGAUUGUUACCACGGCAUAACCCAGACUAUCCUGCUUAUACGAAGUCCAAAUUCUUCAUUUUAUCAAUGUCAUGGAUUGAAUUGUGUCCCCCCAAAAUAUGUGUCAACUUGGCUAGGCCAUGAAACACUGUAUUGGGUGAUUGUCUACCAUUUUGUCAUCUGACGUGAUUUUCCUGUGGUUUGUAAAUCCUACCUUUGUUAUGCUAACAAGGCAGGACUCAAUCUACAAGAUUAGGUUGUGUUUUAAACCAAUCUCUUUUGAGAUAUAAAAGAGAGAAGCAAGCAAAGACACAUGGAGACCUCUUACCACCAAGAAAGAAGUACCAGGAGCAUAGAGUGCCCAUUGGACAUGAGGUCUCUGCACUGAGAAGCUCCUUGACCAGGGGAAGGUUGAUGACAAGAACUUUCCCCCAGAGCUGACAGAGAGAGAAAGCCCUUCCCUGGUGCCCUGACUUCAGACUUCUAGCCACCUAGACUGUGAGAGAAUAAAUUUCUCUUUGUUAAAGCCAUCCACUUGUGGUAUUUCUGUUAUAGCAGCACUGGAUAACUAAGACAACUAACAAAAAAAUGGAGGCCCUGAGAAGUCUCAGCACUUGCCUGCAGCUACAAACGAGAUCAAGACAGAUUCAAUUCCAGAGUCAGUUAUCUGCUGCCCGGAGUAGUAUAUUCUGUCCACUACACCAAUGUUUUCCUAAUUUGGCAUAUGUACCAAUGGCCUCCAUGAGAUGAAUUUAGGUGUGAUAUGAAUAUUAACUUAAAUGAUAAUGAAUCACAUAGAGAGAAUGAAUCUGUUUUUAAUUCUCUUUCAUUCCUUUCGAUUAAUGAAAUGAAAAAUUUCCAUUUGGUGCUAAUGUAUCUUUAAGUGUGUUUUUACUUUUUAACACUUGCUAAUACCUUUAAAAAAAGUUCUUUUUACUAUUAUUAAUGAGAGAAAAGCACUCAGACUCUGAGUCUUCCUUGGGCACCAACAUCUAAAUGGAAUAUAAUAAGAUUGUUUUGUUUUCAUUGUGGUUAAUUUUACAGAUACUUUCUUUAUAUAGGACUUGAUCUUGGUUUAAUACACGAUACAAAGGCAUUCGACUGUGUGGAUCAUAAGAAAUUAUAAAUAACACCGCAAAUUCCGGAACACUUAAUUGUGCUUUUGUGGAACCUGUACAUAGACCAAGAAACAGUCGUUCAAGUAGAACAACGGGAUACUGCAUGGUUUAAAAUCAGGACAGGUAUGCGUCAAGGUUGUAUCCUUUUACCACACUUAUUCAAACUGUAUGCUGAGCAAAUAAUCCAUGAAGCUGGCUUAUAUGAAGAAGAAUGUGACAUCAGGAUUGGGGGAAGACUUAUUAACAACCUUCGAUAUGCAGAUGACAAAACAUUGCUUGCUGACAGUAAAGAGGACUUGAAGUGCUUACUGAUGAAGAUCAAAGACCACAGCAUUUAGCAUGGAUUACCUCUCAACGUAAAACAAAAGUCCUUACAAUGGACCGAGAAGCAACAUGAUAACAAAUGGAGAAAAGAUUGAAGUUGCUAAGGAUUUCAUUUUUCCUGAAUCCAUUAUCUGCAUUCGUGAAAGCAACAGUUAGAAAUCAAAUGACGUAUUGCAAUGGGCAAAUCUGUUACAAAAGACAUCUUUAAAGUGUUAAAAAGCAAAAAUGUCAAUUUAAGGGCUAAAGUGCACCUGAGCCAAGCCACGAUAUUUUCAAUUGCCUCAUAUGCAUGUGAAAACUGGACAAUGAAAAAGGAAGACAGAAGAAUUGUUGUCUUUGAAUUAUGUUGAUGGUGAAGAAUUGAAUACAUAUAGCACUGACUGACAGAAGAACAAAUAAAUCUGUCUUGGCGGAAGUACAGCCAGAAUGCCCCUUAGAACUUAGGAUGGCGAGACUUCAUCUCAUGUACUUUGGACAUGUUGUCAAGCGGAAUCAGUCCCUGGAGAAGGACAUCGAGUGUGGUAAAGUGGAGGGUCAGUGAAAAAGACAAAGACCCUCAAUAACAUGGAUUGACACAGUGGCUGCAACUAUCAGCUCAAACACAGCAAUGAUUGUGAGGAUGGCACAGGAUUGGCACUGUUUCGUUCUGUUGUACAAGUGUCACUGUGAGUCGGGACCAACUCAACAGCACCUAACAACAACAACAACAGUCAUAUAAAGUUCACUUUUAAAUACAUUCAUUUGCAGAUAAAAAGUUAAUAAAGUAUUAAGUGAACAAGAAGACAAGUUUUGGAUAGAUAACGGCAAAAAUUCUACAAAUACUGCACGAAUGUCUGCGCUUUUGAGGUAAACAUGAGAAAGGGAGGUGAUAAUGACUGAAGUAUGUUCAUAGGUACAAUUUACUUUGUCUCAAUUAGAUAACAUCUUUAUCUUUGUUUCCUCAGUUGGGAUGAGGAACAGAUAAAUGCUUUCUAUUUAGAUGAGCAAAUAUAUUUUCAAUGAAAAUGUAACAAACAGUGGAAAGCAAGAAGGAAAAGAUCAUUUUCUUUUUUCAAAUAGCAAUGGACGAAGGCAUAAUGAAUUAAAAUAGGUAAUACAGGAGGGAAAAAAAAGGAUUUGAAACAAUAUCCUGCAUAUGAUUUUGAACAGUGAAUCAUAUAUUGGAGGUAUUCAGCAAGUGGUUAAUUCUUAAGUAAUUCGCAUCCAGCCAGGUGUCACUAAAUAGCCAGAAUAACCAAAAAUAUGGAGCUACAUGUCAAGAUCUAUACAUCUACCUAACUUAUAGCAAACAUAACUAACUUACAGGUAAAAAUAUUGAACUACCUUGACCAGCUUUCCAAAGAUCCUCAAAAUUAAGUUUUAAUAAAUUUCAAUAUUAUAUAGAAUCAUGCGAAUUUAACAUCACCAAUUUCUGUUUAGAUGGGUAGCUGUUGUAUAGUUUAUUAGAUGCCUAUCUGUGCAUAUAAAUUUUCAGGUCUCAAGGGCCAAACUCCAUUUAAAACCACAAUGGCCUUAUAAUGUCACUGUUUUAUACUGUCAUUUCUACACUUUACCCCCUGCUACUUUCGGAGUCAAAGGCUACAUACCUAGAGCUGUAUAUUACAAUGGUUCCUCUAGCAUUUUCACCAAACAGUAUUUCUUAAAUCCUAUUAUACUAAACAUGGUUGGAGAAGAGGCUUCCGGGUACUGUAUAUCUAUUGCUCUUAAGAAGCAUAAAAUCCAGAUAAAACAGAUUUUAUUUAGGGCUUAAGAGUCAAAUGCAAACUGUGCUAGAAGAAUCCUGUACUGAUUUGGGCUAAGAUGUGUAUAGUAGUUUCUUGUUCAUUCUACUAGAAGAUGAUACAGUCAGUUUCCAUAACGCUUCUUUUGAACACACAAAUUUAUUCUGGUGUGAUUGAGGUAUCAGGGAACAAUUUGAAUAAAACAGAUUUUGUGCUUGUUUAUGCAUGAUUUUGUUUGUGAGAAAAGCAAGGUGAACACAGAGAAAUGCAGGCAGUAGGAAUACACAAAUGUAGGAAUACACAAAUACACACAGGCACACACCUCAGACAUCUAUCUUGUUCACAGCACAUGUUAAGAGCCACACCCAUAUACACCAGGUAUUACAACUUUGAUUCUAAUUCCAGGUAGUCUUCUUCCCACCCCUUCACAAAAACUCAUGAACUGCAACCUUUGAGACCCACUUCUAGAAGCAAGCUACUGGUCUUUUUCAAGGUAAAACUGAAAAAAACAAAAACAAAAAACCAAACCCAUUGCCGUCAAGUCCAUUCUGACUCAUAGCGACUCUUAUAAGACAGAGGACAACUGCCCCCAGAGUUUCCAAGGAGCUCCUGGUAGAUUCAACCUGCUGAACUCUUGGUUAGCAGCCAUAGCACUUAACCACUAUACCACCAGGUUUCCUUUUCAAGGUAAAGUAGUAUUUAUUGUAGUAUGUAUGUAUUUCUUAACCGUUACCUUGGAAACCCUGGUGGCAUAGUGGCUAAGAGCUACCUCUGCUAACCAAAAGGUUGGCAGUUCAAAUCUGCCAGGCGCUCCUUGGAAACUCUAUGGGGCAGUUCUACUCUAUCCUGUAGGGUCGCUAUGAGUCGGAAUUGACUUGACGGCACUGGGUUUGGUUUUUGGUUUUAACCAUUACCGUAUUUUUAUGCAAAUAAUGUGUGUGUUCUAUGUUUUCUUUGCCAACCACGUCCUCCCCUUGUGAGAUAUUUUCAGAAAGGCUAAUAUGCUAAUCUGAUAAUUUUUACAAAAAUACUUCAAGGGGGAGGGGGGAAGGAUGGCUCAGUAAGCAAAGAAACAAAAAGUGUGGCCGAUUAUUUGCAUAAAAAUACAAUAAUCAUGUGUAAAACUACACUCCUAUUUUUACUAGGUUCCUAUCUUUUUUUUUAUGUGACACUGACAAAGUUUUUAGUGUUGUACCCCAACACUCUUUUCCCCAUAAGCCCUGUUGUUUUAUUGUACGAUUUUGCAUCUAUCCCAUGAUAGCGGGACUGUGCAUAUUUAUGCUUAUUUUGGUAUAAUAUAAAGGUAGUAAUGCUGAUGAUGUUAAAUCUCCGACACUGGGAGAUUUGUGAAAGAUUAAAACUACAUAACUGUCCUGUAUUUCCAUCUAGUGCAGAAAUAUUUAAAAUUUUUGGAACAAUGCACUCACUUCUUAUAGAAAUAAUUCAGACAUGUCUGUAAUUAUGACAAUAUCUUUUGCAAGGUGCCAGUGUUUCCCAAACAUACAGGCAUCUUCCCCAUUUCUUCUGGGAAGGAUAAGGUCUUCUUGGAUAAUCAGUAUGUUCUUGGUUAACUGGGCUGAUUAUUACCCAUUUGCAUAUUUCCCUUUCUGUUCUUAGGAGAACAGGGAAUGAUAUUCAAAUUCGCAAUUCAUUUAUUCAUGCAUUAACCCAAUAUUUAUUGAGUAAUUACUGUGUAUCAUGCACUGUUCUAGACAUGCUGGACAUUGGGGCAAGACAGACCAAAUCCUUCCCCUUGUUGAGCUUAUAUUUGGCAUUAAUAUUAUGUGAGCCCAUGGGUAUUAAAAGAGAAUGGUAGAAUUCUUCUGUCUUUGGUUUUGGAGUUAGUUUUUGGGUGGCAAUUCUCCUGAAGGUGGCAAUCCUUCUGAAUAAAAUCUUAGUUUCAAUUGGACCUUGACAAAUUAGAUUUAGGUAGUCAUUUUUUCUAGAAGGGAAUGCCAAAAUAGAUAUUUUGAAGAAAAUGUUCUCAAAAAGAAUUGCUUGCUAAUGGAACGAUCAACAAUCCUGACCAGGCCAGGUUAUAGAUGUGUGGCCUGGUGCUCGGUACUGGGGUCUUGUGGUAGAAGACUGCAGGAAAGACAUGUUUGGCUUCCAGUGGUUUCCAAAUUGAAUUAACCAAGCAAAUAUUUCAACUAUUCACCGCCAGUUGGAAACGUUAGCUAUUAACAUUAAACCAUUAAAAUUUUUGACGAUGUUUUGGUUCCCAAUAUAAAUUUAGUAGAACUCAUUUGAUCCCAGAAGAAGAGGCUUAACUUCUUUCUUUUCUUCUAAAUAUAAACUUGCUUUCUUAGUAGUAUUAUCCAGGAUCUUUCCCAGCCCUCCUCGCUCUCCUUUUCUCUUCUGCCUUCCUUUUGUUCUGCAGACAACUCCGUGCCUUGGGUGAGGUUCUGAACUACAAUGGAAGAGGAGGGGCCUCUGUGGUCUGUUUUGAGCUCCACAAAAUGUAUCAGACAAGUUUUACUUUCUUAGAGUGCUAUAUAGUGAUUUUUUUUUUAAUGUGUCUAAGAAAUGGAAACAUUUUGUCUCAUAUAAAAAAGAAAUAUUUUUAUACUGUGCUCCACUCACAGACCACAUCAGAGGUAUUCUAAGAAUAGAAUAGAUCAAAUAUAUUUUAUGGAAAUAUAAUGAGAAAAGGAUGUGUUCCCAAAACUCACUCUGAACAAAGGAAUGCAGCAUAGUCAGGAAUACUUUAACGCUCCUAACAAUUUUCUCAUGUGAAAGGCUGAGGAACAGCCCUGGUUUGAAGAAAUCGCCCACUUCUCCCCAGGCUCCCUGAACUUGAAAUCAGAACUAGGAAAUCUAUACAUUGCAAAAACCGAAAUGUAUGGAAAAAGUGACUUAGGGCAUUAACCAAAAAGGCAUUUUUGAAAGAAGAAAACAUCAAUAUGAAGCAUUUUGUCAUAUUUCAUUUCAUUGAUCACAUUUUUUUUUUUUUUUUUAUGUAUUCCAGAGUACUGAAGCCUAAAAGUAACUGAAUUUCUGUGGAUUCAUAUUAGAUUUGUCAGUCUGUGUUUGAUGAAACUUACCAGGAAACAAAAUAUGUUACAAUCAUUUGCUUUUAUCGUACUGUUCUAUCAUGUAUACGAUGAAUAGUAAUACUAACUAUAUUGAACAUAUAUCUUUUCUCAGAAAUGAAAUACAUCAAGGACUGAAUAUGUGUUCAAAUAAUAAUAUUCUUUUCAUAAUAAUAACCUAUAGGUAUUCAGGAAACUAAACUUACUGGUUUUAUUAAAGUCGCCUGACCAGAGUUCUGAUGGACAGUGAGUAAAUAUCUGCCUUGGAAUAUGAUAAAAAAUAAAAUAAAGUGGGGGGACCUCGUACCACCAAGAAAGUAGCACCAGGAGAAGAGCUCGUCCUUUGGACAUGGAGUCCCUGUGCCUGAGAAGCUCCUGGGCCAGGGGAAGAUUGAGGACAAGGAACAGAAAGAGAGAGAAAGCCUUCCCCUGGAGUCGACACCCUGAAUUUGGACUUGUAAACUACUAGAUUGAGAGAAAAUAAAUUUCUCUUUGUUAAAGCCAAAUAAAUAAAUAAAUGAAAUGGUAAAAAGGAUUUUUGAGGUCUUGAAUUCUCAUUCCACUUGUAUUUCUUAUCUUCGGCCUCCAUUUGUCUGUGUGCAAAAUGACCAUGACAUAAAGAAUGUACAUUCAAGGUCCAUUUUACAUAAUUAUGAAUUAAAAAUAAUUUGUUCAUGGUGAGAUUCUCCAUCCUAUUGGUUGAUAGAUGUUAAUUCUUAGUAAUAGAGAAAAUAUUGCCACAUUAUAAUUUCUACUUUUUGGUUCAUUGAAACAUGUAUUUUUAUCCAGUAUCAAUCUGUUUAUUCAUUAUAACAAAUGCCAGCACCCUUACAAUAGCUUAUGGUACAGGUUGAAUAAUGUCCCCCCAAAAUAUAUGUUGGAAUCCUAACCCAUAUACCUGUGGAUGUAAUUCCAUUAGGGAAUAGGAUAUUCUUUGUUAUGUUAAUGAGCUCAUAUCAGUGUAGGGUGUGUUCUAAACCUAAUCACUUCUGAAUGACAAAAAGAGACAAUUAGACACAGGAAGGAGAGCAGAUUUGGGGGAGGAGGAGUAGAUGUCACAUAUGGAUCACCAAGGAACUGGGGAACAUCAGGCUACAAGCUGAAAGAGACAUGAAUCCUCCCCCAGAGCUGACAGAGAAAGAGCCUUCCCCUAUAACUCGUGCCCUGGAUUUGGACUUCUAGCCUCCUAAACUGUGAGAAAAUUAAUUUCAGCUCUUUAAAGAAAUUGUGGUUUUCCUGUCACAGCAGCACUAGCAAACUAAAACACCCUACAAGGCCUUCCAUGAUCUGGCCUCCUGCUUCUUCUCAGACAGGCUCUCCUGGCCUCUUCCCCUGGCUCGCUCUGCUCCAGCCACACUAGCAUCCUUGUUGGCUCCAGGACACUGAGGAAUCUCUAUCCUUCAGUAAGGCAUUUACCUGAGAGUUUUCUCUCCUUGAAGUAUUUUUCCACAGAUGUCCAUUUGAUUGAUCUCUCCAGUCCUUUCAUUCAUUGAUCAACCUCACCUCUCAAUAAGGCCAUAUAUCAUAACAGGAUUAACACUGCAACAUUUCACCUCAUCCCCUUUCCACCCCAACAAGCUGCCUUUAAUCAUUUCCCUUUUUUUGAUUUUUUGAUAGUACUUAUCAUCUUCUAAUAUACUACAUGACUUAUUUAUUAUAGUUACUAUUUGUCAUUCCUUGUAGGGAAUGUAAGCUACAUGAGGCCAUGAUAAUUGUGUACUUUGUUAGCUGAUGCAUACAAGUGUCUAUAUUUAUGCCUGAUACAAUACAUUCAACCAC